rnacentral:lncRNA from 1 species
UUCGCCUCAAGUUUAUCGUUUACCAGAAGUUCCAAAUUAGAAUAAGUUUCAAAUUCUUAUGCUGGUUUAUGUUCUCUUUGUAGGUUAUGAGAUAUGCUGCUUGAGAGAUGACGUUAGCAAACUGGAAGGGCUGCAACCAAAUCCAAUCAACAACAUGGUAGUGGUCUCUGAAUAUCUAAGCUAGUGAUAAUCUUUUCAGCGAUUCCUUUUUUGUUUGGCCUUCUUGUAGUGUAUAUUAGUAGUUGCUGGAGCUGUGAUGGUGAUCUUUUUUUCUGACUGGCUGUUUGUUAUAGAUGACAAAUCUUUUGGUUGCCGCUUCUUAUGUAUUGAUAAUGUGAUGAAGAUGUAACUGCAACAAAUGAUGUCUGAUUGUACAGAGAAACAAAUGUUGCUUUGAUGGCAAAACUGAAAAACACUGAAUUGUUUCUCUAUCGUCCAGUCCUUUGAAUUAGUGGGCUGAAAAUAUUGAUGGGCUGGAAGAGGCCUUAGCCCACACAAUACUGGACAAAAAAUGAAAGGAAAAAUGUCUUAAAAAAAUUAGAAAUGUUAAAUGGACCGCAAAAAGGCCGAGGCCUAGAAAAAUGGAAGAAGCACAGAAAACAAAAAAGGCCAAAUUGUUGGGCCAGGCCCAUGUAACAAACCAAAGUUAAUAAAAAAAAUAAUAGUAAAAGGGCUGAAUUAUUGGGCUCGGCCCAUGCGAAGCACCGAAUUGGACCGGGCUGAUUCUUAUCAACGAUAGUUUCAAUUGGUAGCAAUUUUGCGUCAGCUUGCCACGUCGGAUCCGACAUGGCCUGGACAGAGAGCUAGCGACCAAAAUAGAAGGUCAUGGGAUUAACGACCUUUUGUUUUGGUCGUGGAAUUCCAUGACCUUCUCACAGAGAAGGUCGUUAAUUUCAGUUUACGACCGCUAGGUUUUGACCUUCUGUUUUAGCUUUUGACCUUCUGUUUUUGGUCACAAAAAGGUCGCAAAUGAAAAACAAUGACCUUUCAGUGAUCAAUAGUGAUGGUCACAAAUUGACAUAUUUCUUGUAGUGGGGCACCGCAUGUUCUUUCAGCGGCCCCCGCCGUUGCCUAGCCCCACGCCUCCCCUCGCACUAGCCCGCGCCGACGCGGCCCCGGCCCGGCCAUGCCGGUGCCCAGAUGCGCCCGCACACCCGUGGCCGUUCGGGAGGGCGCCCGCCCCAUUCGCUGCGCCUGAUACGCACCCGCCCCGCUAUGGCCUCUGGGCCACAGACACGUGGGGCCCAGCCCCUAGUUUUAAAAUUUAAAAAUAGAAUUAAUUAAUUAAUUUAAUUAACAUUGCUUAAUUAGCCUAAUGAACUAGAUUAGUUUUAAUUAAAUUUUGUUUAAUUAACUAGUCUAUGAUAGACGGGGCCCAGCUGUCAGUUUUACCAGUGAACGCCAUGUUGACUGCUGAUGUCAUGAUGACGUCGGACUGACGUCAUAAUUCCGUUUUUGAAUUAAAGUAAAUUACAGAAUAUUGUUAUAACUUUGAAAAUUCACAGAAAAUAAUUUGUAGCUCGAUUGAAAAAGUUUUAUACAUGAAAGUUGCUCAGAACGACGAGACGAAUCCGAAUGCGCAGUCUAUUCGUGUGCCACACGUACCUAGCAUAGGGAACAUGGAACUUUUCCCCUCCGGUCCGCCUGUCCGAAAAUGCAAACUUCGAGAAAACUUUCCUGGAUGUUUUCCCCCUUCGCCGGUAUCGUGAAGCACUGCGUUAGGUCACCCCAGCACAACGUUUUGCUUUGUCUUACUUUGCGAUGCAUUGUUUGCUCUGUUAUUUAUUAUAUUCCCCCUCUGUUACUUCUUUCUGGUAGACCCCGAGAUCGCGGUUGAACCGGUGCUCGACUACUUCACCGUCGAAGGUUCUUAUUUGUCUUCAGAGCUUCUAGGCAAGUCGCCCUUUGAUCAUCCCGAUAUCACCCAUUCCAUUCUCUCAUGCUUGCAUUAGAUUUUGCUACUGUAAUUGAUUGCUCCUAUUCUGAUGCAUAGCCUGCUUUUGUACCUGUUGUUGUACCCUACCUGCUUAUCCUAAACUGCUUAGUAUAGGUUGGUUAGUGAUCCAUCAGUGACCCCUACCUUGUCCUUGUCGCCCCUGCUUCAUCAUCGAUGACUCGAUCAACGUGAUCGAUGACCAAAGACCGACACCUCACAGCACAUCACACCCCCUCUGUUGCUCGACUCUGUAGAGAUACUGUAGCGACCCGACCUCAAACGAUCAAGUCUCUGUGCUUCAGUGUCAUCCCUGGAUCGGUAAUGCUGACACACACAGUACUCGAAGGAUUUAUAAAAGAGUAGCAAUCACACACUUAUUACAUCUAAUGUCUCAAAAGAGAUCUUAUUACAAUAAAUAUGGCUUAAGGCCAUCUAAUACGAUAACAGCGGAAGGCUUGGAAGAUAGAGUGAGUCCAUCAACACCAAUGACAUAGCUGAGCUGCACGACAACGACCUAAUGAACCUUACUCCUCGUCUGAAAAGUCUGUAACAUAAUACGUUGCAGCACGAAAACGGGUCAGCACAUGGAAUAUGCUGGCAAUAUAACACAGUAGAGCAAGAACAGAAUAAUGCUAUCACUACAUGCAUAUUUGGCUGGUGGAAAGCUCUAUGGUUAUAGUUUUUGUGAAAAGCCAAUUUUUCCCUACAACAAAGGAAUAGAUUUUAUUUAACUAUCAUGGUAGUUGAAACAUCAUUCAGAAGGUUCCUCCAACUCAAUCCCAAUUAAAAGUAAUUAUCAACCCAACAAUAUUAAUUUAGAGUGACGAGAUACAUAUGAUAAUCCAAGUACUAGAUACUCAAGAAUUGUCCAUAACCAGGGACACGGCUAACCAUGAUUAGAUUGUACACUUUGUAGAGGUUUGUGCACUUUUCCCCAAAAGACCCGAUGAGGGAGUCCUGGAUUAGGGGGUAUCCAAACGGCCGGACUAUAUCCUUUGGCCGGACUGUCGGACUAUGAAGAUACAAGAUUGAAGACUUUGUCCCGUGUCCGGAUGGGACUCUCCUUGGCGUGGAAGGCAAGCUUGGCAAUUUGGAUAUGUAGAUCUCCUUCCUUGUAACUGACUCUAUGUAACCUUAGCCCCCUCCGGUGUCUAUAUAAACCGGAGGGUUUAGUCCGUAGAGAGGAUAUACAAUCAUACCAUAGGCUAGCUUCUAGGGUUUAGCCUCUUCGAUCUCGUGGUAGAUCAACUCUUGUACUACUCAUAUUAUCAAGAACAAUCAAGCAGGACGUAGGGUAUUACCUCCAUCAAGAGGGCCCAAACCUGGGUAAACAUCGCGUCCCCCGCCUCCUGUUACCAUCCGCCUAGACGCACAGUUCGGGACCCCCUACCUGAGAUCCGUCGGUUUUGACACCGACAUUGGUGCUUUCAUUGAGAGUUCCACUGUGCCGUCACCGUAAGGAAGGAUGCCUCGUCGCAUUUUUAAAAACAACAUUACCACCGGGGGAGCCCUGGCUGUCGGCCAAACUCUCCGGCUAGGCAGUUUCAUCAUGACCGCCCAUUCGGCUGCUGCACCGACAAUGACUUCUCGGGUCAUCGAAAACAGCCUCCACGUCGGCUCGGAAUUUGCCGAGCAGAUGGAUCCAAUGGAGCUCUCAUCCCUAAACAAGCUCUUGGAUCGCAUCGCCGCCUUGGGAGUCGCUAUGGACUAUGAUCGGAUUGGGCUUAAACCCGAUCAAAGGGAGAUUAACUCUCCACCGGUCACCCAUCAUAUUGCGGUGGUGUAGGAACAAUGCGGCGAUUCUUCCUCUAUCUUGAGGACUAACUAUGUCCGGAUUCCUGAGCUCUCCGAGCCGGAUACCCAUUUACAGGAGGACAUCACCCAAGCCCUGAACCUAGAGUCAGGCGGCGGUCCAGACUUAUCGGGCAACAUCCCGGAACCCGAACUUCCAAGAUUGGAAACUCCUCGGCCCCUGGGUCUCAGAUCAGGUAAGGGUUCGGACUCAAAUACACACACCCACCCAAACAUAAACGAUCUUUCCCACAUCAAGCAAGCGCCCCAAGAAACAGUACAUCAUUAUUGGGCCAGAUUCCUCCUUCUGACGAACAAGGUUAAGGACUGUCGCGAGGAAGACGCAGUCUCAUUUUUCCACAAUAAUUGCACGGACAAGGGAAUCCUUAACGCCAUAAGUCGCCGUGACAUAUCACGCUUCGCUGACUUGGUGUCCAUAGUACGAAAGUAUUGUGCGAUGGAAAGCGCCUGGAAAACCGAAACGAAAUUUUGGGAUAAUCCGGCUCCAAAUAUACACCCAGUCCGAAGUAAAAGGGUGCACUAUCAUAAGACACCCGAGUUAAUUACAAAGAAGCAAAAACCCUCUACAGGGUGUGGAACCGUAUUGGAGGGAUGGCUCAACGGACCCUGCAAAAUUCAUAGUACAUUGGAUACCUUACCAACACACAACCUUAGAGCAUGUUGGGUACUCCGGCAGGUGGCCAAACAUGGUGAGGAUCUUCUCAUCCCAGAUGCCACAGAGCACCAUCCCGGGGAUAACAAUAUGAUAUUAACAGUCUUUGAAACCUUCACAUCAAAUAAUAGGCGCAAGUGAACACUUCGCGGCCUUGCCGAAAUCUGCCACGUAGCAGCAAUAAAUCCAUGGAGUGACACGGCUAUUACCUUCAAUGCCAGUGACGAACCUAAAUUCCGAACAGCCCGAGCACCAGCUGCACUGGUCCUCAGUCCAAUUGUGGACGGCUUUCGACUCACCAAAGUACUCAUGGACGGCGACAGUGGAUUAAACCUCAUCUAUGAGGAAACUCUUCAAAAAAUGGAAAUAGACUGGAACCGCAUUGAGCAAAGCAUCACAACCUUCAGAGGAAUCAUCCCCAGUCAGGAAGCACGCUGUGCUGGGAAAAUCACACUAGAUGUGGUAUUCGGCACGCCGGAGAGCUAUAGGUCCGAAGAAAUUACAUUCCAAGUGGCCUCGUUCAGUAGCGGAUACCACACCCUUUUAGGGCGGGAGGCGUUCACGAUCUUCCAAGCCAUACCCCAUUACGGGUACAUGAAGCUCAAAAUGCCCGGGCCCAACGGAAUCAUCACACUCGCUAGUGAUCCGGACACAGCACUCCGCGCCGAAAACAAAACAGCCGCAUUGGCCCUCGAGGCAUUAUCCGAAGCCCUUUCGGCCGAGGAAUUAACUGCGCUACGCUCCAUAGUGGACAGGGACGACGUGAUACUUGACAAGAGAUCCAAGUCCACCUCUUUUAAACCAGCGGAUGAAAUAGUCAAAUUCCAUGUCCACCCAACGGACCCUACAAAAACAGCCUCCAUCGGGGCACAGUUAAACCCCGUCGUGGACGCCGCACUACGAGAGUUCCUGCGCGAGAAUUGGGACAUAUUCGCCUGGCACCCCUCAGACAUGCCAGAAAUCCCAUGCAGGUUGGCCGAGCACAGCCUUAAUAUUCUAAAGGGAUUCAAGCCGGUCAAGCAGACUCUUCGGCGUUUCUCUGAACCUAAGAGACAAGCUAUGGGAGAGGAACUAGCCAAGUUAUUGGAGGCCGGAUUCAUUAGAGAAAUAAAACACCCGGACUGGCUAGCAAACCUGGUGAUGGUACCAAAGAAGGACAAAUCCUGGCGCCUAUGUGUUGAUUUCAAGGACCUCAACAAGGCUUGCCCAAAGGAUCCCUUCCCCCUCCCCUGCAUCGAUCAAAUUAUCGAUGCUACCGCAGGACACGAUUCAUUGUGUUUCCUCGACACAUACUCCGGCUACCACCAAAUCAAGAUGGAAGAGUUCGACCAAGCCGCACCGGCAUUUAUCACACCAUACGGCCCCUUUUGUUUCAACACAAUGCCUUUUGGGCUCAAACACACCGGCGCAACAUAUCAGCGCAUGAUUCAGACAUGUCUGGAGAAACAGAUCGGCAAAACAGUAGAGGCAUACGUAGAUGAUGUGGUCAUCAAAACCAAACACGUCGACUCUCUAAUAGACGAAUUGAGGCUCACAUUCGACAACCUCCGAACAUACGACAUCAAGCUCAAUCCGGAAAAAUGCAUUUUUGGUGUACCAGCCGGAAAGCUCCUGGGUUUCAUUGUCUCCAGUAGAGGAAUUCAAGCAAAUCCGGUCAAAAUCCGAGCUCUGUCACAGUUGGCUAUCCCAACGGACCUCAAACAAAUCCAGAAAUUAACCGGAUGUGUGGCGGCUCUAAGCCGCUUUAUCUCCCGCUUAGGAGAAAGGGCAUUACCCCUUUAUCGCCUCCUUCGGCGCACCGAACACUUCGAGUGGACGGACGCUGCCACAGCCGGAUUGGAAGAAAUAAAAGCCAUACUGGCAACCAACCCAAUCCUGGCUGCGCCAAACAUCGACGAACCAAUGAUGUUGUACAUUGCGGCAACUCAUCAGGUUGUAAGCGUAGUGCUUGUCGUCGAACGAGAAACAGGUGGACAUAAAUCCCCCCUUCAAAAGCCGGUAUAUUAUGUAUCCAAUGUCCUCACUCCAUGCAAAUCACGGUACCCACAUUAUCAAAAGAUAGCCUACGCGGUAUUCAUGGCAUCCCGGAAGCUGCGACACUACUUUCAAGAGUGUUCAAUUACAGUAGCCUCAGAAGUACCACUUAAUGAUAUUAUAAACAACCGCGACGCCAUGGGCCGGAUUGCCAAAUGGGCCAUUGAGCUCCUCCCGUUCGACAUAACAUACAAACCCCGGUGAGCCAUUAAAUCGCAAGUAUUGGCCGACUUUGACGCCGAAUGGACGGAAGUCGAACUCCCUAAAGAGUACGGUGCAUACUCCAAUUGGAUCAUGCACUUCGACGGCUCCAAAAUGCUGGAUGGUCUGGGUGCUGGCGUCGUCCUGAUGUCCCCAACCGGAGAUAUAGUUCAAUACAUACUACAGAUACUGUAUACAGACUCCAACAACGCAGCCGAAUACGAAGCCCUGUUACACGGUCUUCGGAUGGCAGUUUCCAUGGGCAUUCAACGCCUGGAGGUGCGUGGGGAUUCAAACCUCACAAUAUCCCAAAUAAAUGGAGACUUCGAUGCCAAGGAUCUGAAGAUGGUGGCCCAUCGCAACGCCGUCCUAAAGAUGCCAGCUUGGUUCGAGGGGCUCGAAUUUCACCAUGUGGCUCGGGAAAACAAUCAGGUGGCGGAUAUCCUCGCCCGCAUCGGCGCAAAACGUGAUGCGGUCCCCCCCCCAACAUCUUUUUGGAGAGGUUGUUUAAGCCAUCCGUGGUAUGAGAAGGGGACACCAGUAACAAUAGUCCAGACCCGGCCAAAAUGCCCGAUACCGAACACUCUGACAUAAUCGGAGGCUCUGCCACCGAAAUAACACCUUCAGCCCACGUAAUAAUGGCCAUCAUCGCCCCAUGGACAGAACCAUUCCUGGCCUACCUAACUAGGCAGGAACUUUCCAAGGACCAAAAUGAGGCACACUGCAUAGUGCGGCAAUCUAAAGCCUACAGGGUCCACGAGGGAGAGCUGUAUAAAAAAAAGCACUACUGGAGUCCUUCAAAGGUGCAUCUCCGAAGAGGAAGGGCGGAAGCUUUUGGCAGAAAUUCACGCCAGACUCGGCGGCCACCACGCCGCAGCCCGGGCCCUUGUAAGCAAGGCCUUCCGUACAGGUUUUUAUUGGCCGACGGCCCGGGUAGAUGCACAGGACUUGGUCCAACGUUGCAUCGGUUGCCAGCUUUUUACAAACCAAAGCCACAUGCCACCCACCGCCCUCGAAACAAUACCCAUUACCUAGCCCUUCGCGGUCUGGGGCUUGACAUGGCUGGACCCCUUAAAGGGGGAACCCAUAAGAAAAAAUACUUACUGGUCAUGGUGGAUAAAUUCACCAAAUGGAUAGAAGCCAAACCUGUUAAAACAGCCGAAUCCAGACCGGUGAUAGACUUCAUAUCCGGGGUUGUACACGGUUAUGGCGUCCCCCACAGCAUCAUCACUGACAACGGCACGAACUUCACGGCCGACGAGGUAAAACUCUAGUGCGGCAAUAUGGGCAUUAAGCUUGAUUAUGCUUCUGUCUAUCACCCACAAACUAACGGCCAAGUUGAGCGAGCAAAUGGUCUUAUCAUGAGCGGCAUCAAACCCAGAUUAGUGCGGUCCUUAAAGGAGUCUAACACGCACUGGGUAGAGGAGCUCGACUCCAUACUCUGGGGGCUGCGGACCACGCCGAAUCAUACUACCGGAUACACACCCUUCUUUAUGGUGUACGGCGCAGAGGCGGUUCUGCCCUGCGACAUAAUUCAUGACUCACCUCGAGUGUGCAUGUACGAAGAAAGAGAAGCCGAGCUCGAUCGUCAGGACAGUCUGGACACCCUGGAGGAGGAGCGCGAUGUGGCAAAAGCCUGUUUCGCAUUCUAUCAGCAACAGGCUCGCAGAUACCAAAGCAGAGAAGUACGGGCCAAAACUUAUAACGUUGGCGAGCUAGUUCUACGCCUGCCGGAGAAGAAAAAGACCAAGCUCGAGCCCAAAUGGGAAGGUUCCUUCAUUAUUGACCAAGUUCUGACCGGUGGAGCAUACCGUCUGCGGGAUGCAUCGAAUAAUCGACUUGAGCCGAACCCAUGGAACGCAGCCAGGCUCCGAAGAUUCUAUGCCUAGUGCCGGACUCUAUGUUCGUCUCCUUCCUCUGUCCAUUUUUUGCAUAUACAUUAUCUGUCUUUUUUCUCUUUCUUUCUUUUAUACUUUCUCAAGGCCUUCAAGGGCCAACUUGUGCCUUGCUUGCACACUAUUGACGCGCUAACCGCGCUCAUUAUACCUGCGGGCUUCAUACACAGAAGCUUAAUUAUUUAUCUGGGCUUCAUGCCCUGCACAUGUGUUAUUCUUCCACAUGUACCUUUUCUUCGCCAUUAUAUGCAUCGAUAUGACUUAAGUUUUGGCCAAGCUGGGUUGCCUGGCACUUGUAUUUAUGCCCUAAGUUCCCGUUAAUUCGGCUAGGGCAUAAGGGGAGCACCUCUACGAUUGUUACUGCCGGGUCUGUCGGAUGUGUACCUUAGACUGGGUGAAGCCGAAAGCUAGCGUUCUUAAGGGAAUAUUCGGUGGGUGAACAAAAGAUGAUUUUUAUUUAUUUUCCAUAUGUGCCCCCUAGAUGUUUUUGCCUGCGUCUCCUCUCGCAGUCCGGACUUGCACUUUAGGGCAUGCGUACCCAGGGAAAGGAACCCUUAACGGAACUAUUCUCCCUGGAAGAUGUUUCUUGCUACCCAUGUAAUAUAACAUAACUAGUUGGGUACUUGUCUGUUCAAUCACUAAUGACCCCUACGACUGGUUUCCACGCAUACCCCGGUUCUUAUAUAACUGAGCGGGUAUUCGGAUACACUCCGGACUAUCGGGUCCCGAGGUUGAAGCGAAAAGGUCCGCCAUGACAAAUGAUUUACAAUCCGGCUAGAAGGCAUUAUACAUGUCACUUUAAUUACAUAGUCAUGUAGACUGACUAAAUUCCUCUUCUAUAUCAUCCAACAGGCUGUCUAGCCUACAAUCCUGUUGGGAAUACUUUGCGGCUAAUUCUACUUGCCCAUACACUAAGCUAACAGGGAUCUCUUUCCCAUUGGGCCCCACAGGUCCGACCUCGGCCAUGUGGUUUGGGUCAGCCUUGGUAUACCGCGUCUUCACCAUGGCCCAGGCUUCCCUGGCACCUUGACGGCAGGCCGAUAUCUUCCAUAAUUGGAAGCGUUGCCGUGCUCCCUUGAGCUUCUCCGCAAGCUCUCCAAUGCCUGCUGGCAGGGAGACGGAUGGCCACAAGGCCCGGGCAAUACCUUGCAUCACCUGCCGAACUUGUUCGUGCAGUUGUGAGAGCUCGGGUAGAAGAUCACCCGCAGACCCGGGCAUCUCCUCCACGGGACGACCCGUCAGCAUACCUGCAGACAUAACUCUGUUAGCCGGCUUCUCCGCAGCACUCUUUUAAGGGUUCGUUCAAGCACUUACUAAAAAUGUCGCGUCGAAGCCGCUUAUUCUCCUUCACGGAGUCCGCAAGCUGGGCUCGAACAUCUUUCAGUUCCACGCUCAGCUUGGUAUUGGUGUCUUGGAGAUUGUUUUUCUCCCGCAUGACCUUAUUCAGCACGCGUUCGCCAGCCUUUAGCUGUCGUACGACAUGCUAGUCCUCCGGAUUCUCUCCGGAGUCAUCUGCAAUAUCUAUUGUUAGAUCUGCAGCCAUGCCGCACACUAUAUGGUACCUAUCAUUCUUUGAAACAAAUGUUACCAACUGGGGACUCUUCAGGUUCCUUCAAUGCGGCAACGGCGGCCCGAAGUUGGGUCUUGCAUUCCUCCAGCUCCUGUGACAGUCGAGUAUUCUUCUCUAUAAGAACCUGCACAAUAAAUGAUCCUUAAAUCAGUUGUGCCAACUGUUUCAAGUCUCAGGGGCUACUGAUAUAUAUACUCAUCAAAUUUUCUUACCCGUACAUCCUUUACAUACUGGUCCGUGGCUCUGGCGAGACCAUUUUGAGCAGCACGGAUGUACGCAUCUCCCGAGUUGAAUGCAUCAAACGCCUCUCGGGAGAAACUAGCGUCACGGAGUACGGCUCGGCGACGCCUGUGAUUCAUGGCCUCUCCACUUUAGAAUUCGUAGCGGAUAUCUUAUCCGCAUCCUCUGUAGAAGGAGCAUCCGGUGUGUACCUCGUGUUAGCUUUCGCCUCUGUGUCUGGCCCUGGAGCCCGACUAGUAGAGGCGUGAUCGGUGACCUCUCCGGAUAUUGUCCGGUGAGCGUUCUUCCUUCUAGGAAACACGUGUUAUUAUGUUUUUAAAGACGACAACCACGGAGUGAGGUGUUGCAUCAUACCUCUGCGCCGGCGUCUCCGUCCGGACCGCCUUCCUUUUUAGCCUGUCCGGCUUUGAAACCCCUUGUUGGCGAGUCGCCGUGGGCUUGGCAUGGCGUCCCGAGGGCCUUCCCUAUAAAACACCGUUUGUAUACGGUAGGUGAAGUGCAUAAAAGGAAAUCCUUUUCAAAGGUUGGGACUCUGGUCUCAUUUACCUGCGAGGCUGGGAGUAGCCUAGGGUAGUCGGCUAUAAUGGCCACCAUGGCGUCAUCACAACUUAGCUGAUAGAAAAUCCUAUCAAUCAGCUCCACGAAUAUGUCCGGAUCCUCUUUCAGGCCGGGGUCGAGGACCCACUCAGGAUCCUCCGGUUGUGGAGGUGGGCUAUUGAUCUCCCCUACCGCCUUAUGCGGUUCCUGCGAUGAAACAGCAAGGUAAAUAUUUAUCACGAAAACAAGGGUAGGAUGGAAGUAAAAAGAGCGGAAGCUCACCCAGCUUCAAGGGUUGUUCAUGGAGAAUCCACCCCGUGGCUUGACACGGAGGAACUCCUCUUCUUCCCCCUUAUACAGAUCAGAUAGAAUAUUUGCUAGAGCAGCAACUGAGUCCGGUCCCUUGCGCCCACAGCGAGUGGCAUCAUCUUCCCCGUUGAAGUGCCACAUGGGGUGGCCUCGAUAUUGAAGUGGCUGCACCCCUCGCAUAAUGCAUAUUGCCAUAACCUUGGUUAUGGUCAGUCCUGAUUUGGCCAGCAACUUUAUCCGGCCCAUCAGAUAAAAUACGUCUCUAUCAUCUUCCUCAUGUGGGCUCCGUGGGCGCCAGCUUAGGCGUUUCUUCAAAGGGGCGUUGUCGAACUCAGGAAGACCAAUCUGGAUAGGAUCCGGGAGAGGAACAUCCUCCAUAUAAAACCACUCCGAAGGCCAGUCCUCCGACGUCUUCUUCGAGGUACCGGAUAGGUAUCCUGUCCCGGCGAUGCGCCAUACUUCGGCUCCGCACACUUGAUAUAUUGAUCCCCUCUGUGUAUGGGGCACAAGGCAGAACAACUUCUUCCACAGCGCGAAAUGAGCUUCGCAACCCAGAAACAGCUCGCAAAGGGCUACGUAACUAGCGAUGUGCAGUAUGGAGGCAGGGGUGAGGUUGUGCAACUGGAGGCCGUAGAACUCCAGGAGCCCUCGAAGAAAUGGAUGGAUUGGAAAUCCGAGUCCCCUUAACAAAUAAGGGACAAGGCGUACCCGCUCUCCCUUAGAGGGGUUGGGAAAGCUCUCUGCUUGCUCCCCGCCAUUAUAGGUGGCGAGCCCGGCUCGAACCGGGACCAUAUACGCUGGAGGGAGGAAUCCCUGGAUCUGUAGCUUCACUAAUUGGCUGUGCGGGACAGAACACUUCUCCCAGUCUCCGGGCUUGGGCAUGCGGGAGCGAGAGGAGGAGCUGCGCUGGCCGGCCAUGUUGGGAUGGAUUUUUUCAGGCGUGCACCGAUGAAUGCUCGCUGAGGGAGGAUGGUGUGGUUUGGAUCUGAGGAUCCUCGUCUCUUUAAUAGACAUUUCAUUCACAUAGAUGGGGUGGUAAAUGUAAAAACACCCUGGCUCCUCACAUUCGCUUGACACGUGGAAGAUGGCCAUUAUUGGAUGCAAAAGCCAAGAAGCGCAACAUUUAUGAGAAGCCGGACACUAUUUAACAGGUACUUCGAGUUUGAAGAAGAACCCGCCUUGCAAUGCCGAAGACAAUCUGCGCGCCGGACUCGUCGUCAUUGAAGCCUGGUUCAGGGGCUACUGAGGGAGUCCUGGAUUAGGGGGUAUCCGGACGGCCAGACUAUAUCCUUUGGCUGGACUGUCAGACUAUGAAGAUACAAGAUUGAAGACUUCGUCCCGUGUCCAGAUGGGACUCUCCUUGGCGUGGAAGGCAAGCUUGGCAAUUCAGAUAUGUAGAUCUCCUUCCUUGUAACCGACUCUGUGUAACCCUAGCCCCCUCCGGUGUCUAUAUAAACCAGAGGGUUUAGUCCGUAGAGAGGAUAUACAAUCAUACCAUAGGCUAGCUUCUAGGGUUUAGCCUCUUCGAUCUCGUGGUAGAUCAACUCUUGUACUACUCAUAUUAUCAAGAACAAUCAAGCAGGACGUAGGGUAUUACCUCCAUCAAGAGGGCCUGAACCUGGGUAAACAUCGCAUCCCCCACCUCCUGUUACCAUCCGCCUAGACACACAGUUCGGGAACCCCUACCCGAGAUCCGCCGGUUUUGACACCGACACCCGAUCUCCUCCGUUGGAUUUCUCGCACUACGGGGUGUUUGAGAAAUGGAUGACCGAGACACAGUCUUUCAGAAACAUUUACUCUUUACUCCGGGCAGACCAUACCAACCUACAUCCCUCUACCUGCUGAUCCACCUCUCCGAGAGCUCAUGUAACUUACUCAGCUAUGCUAGAGCCCAUAAUAGCAUGUGGCUGCACAUGGAAGUUUCUAGCAUGAAAUAUCUCAGUUCCCUUUGAGCCUGGGUGGCGGACCUUAGGAUUAUCACACAGGUACUCGGGUAUAUCCUAGGACAGCAUUGGAUUCUCUAGGUGCCCGACAAAUAAUCCACCCAGAUGUGUAUUCAAGUUGCCACCUUAAGUUGAACCAUUAAUUAACAAUCUCACAUCUGUCAUGAUUUCACUCACCCAAACCACGUCUACGAGCUUAGCAUAGCAAUAUAAGCAAUACAUAGAAGUAACUCCCAAGGGUUUGAUAAUAACAUGACAAUAGGUUCUACCUCAUUAACUACUUCCCAACCCACAAGUUAAUCACAUCCUAAUCAUGCAAUGUUUGAGGAUUGGAGCUAAUGCAUAAAAACUGGGUGGUAAAGGGGUAUGAUCAAAGUGUUACUUGCCUUGCUAAUGAUCCGCAAAACCUAAAGAUUCGAAGAAGCACGCUUCGCACUUCGGGUGUUCUAUCGCAAGCAAGCAAUAGCAUACAUAAGCAAUCAAGCAAAGAAGCAUGGAUAAAGCUCAAAUAAGAAGGUCUAACCAGAAAGUUCAACUUAAGAACCCCGGUUUGCAAAAAGAAUCAAAUCAAACGGGGCAACGAAACUCAAACUGCGAAAGAAACAAGGUCCAUUAACUAUUCUGGACUAAAGUCAAAUUUUACAGUAUCAAAACCUUGUUCAAGUUGAUUAAACAGAAAGAGGGUUUCGAGACGAAGAUCUAGGCGCUUGAAUCGCCUGAUUCCGACAAACGAGCAAAAAGAUAAACUAAAACGAAAAUCGGAUCAGAAAUCGCGAUCGAAAAUAAUCACGGAAAAUCCGAGAAAAAGAAAAACUGAUGGACAGGCUAACGAACGAACGUUCGCUGUCCGCAGCUAACGAGUGAACACCGUUCGUUAAAACGAAUGUACGGACGAACAUCCGCUAAAUAACUAAACUGGGAAAAACCGACGAACUGUUCUAUUCAGAAAAACUUAGGGUUUCCUAAAAAAACCGGAUCGGUUCUUUUAAAAAAACGAACGACGGCUUUACUUCCGACGAGAUCCGGCGAGGCGGGGCGGCGACUCCAGCGAGGCGGGGCUGCGGCGGUGGGCGGCGCGGGUGGCAGGGGCGGCGCGGCAGCNNNNNNNNNNNNNNNNNNNNNNNNNNNNNNNNNNNNNNNNNNNNNNNNNNNNNNNNNNNNNNNNNNNNNNNNNNNNNNNNNNNNNNNNNNNNNNNNNNNNNNNNNNNNNNNNNNNNNNNNNNNNNNNNNNNNNNNNNNNNNNNNNNNNNNNNNNNNNNNNNNNNNNNNNNNNNNNNNNNNNNNNNNNNNNNNNNNNNNNNNNNNNNNNNNNNNNNNNNNNNNNNNNNNNNNNNNNNNNNNNNNNNNNNNNNNNNNNNNNNNNNNNNNNNNNNNNNNNNNNGCGACAAAGGCGGGGCGGCGCGGGGCGGAUCCAAUUUGCGGCGGGGUGCGACCGUGGUGGCGGAAAUCAGGGCGGAGGCGGGGUACUUAUAGGAGGGGGGUGCUUGCUUGGGCGAGGGGGCAAGCGGCGCGGGGAAGGAGAGUCCCGGCCGAACUCGGCCUCGCGGGCGGCAGCGCGCUCCCGUUCUCCUCGAAGGAGACGGCGUGGGGAGGUGGGCCGACUGACUUGGGCUUCGGCCCAGUCAACGGAGGAAACUUUUUUUUCGCCGAAACUAAAAAAAUCUUAUAAAAACUAAAAAAAAUGCCAAAACAAAUUUUCACCGUCUGAAUAAAAUAUUUAGAACGAGAUGAACAUUUUCUUGGCCCUAAAAUGCAACUUUGAAAAAACAUGCAAUUUUUCUAAUUCAAAUAAAAUAGCAAUAAACUCCGAAUAAAAUCAAAUAUUUGAUUUUAAUAUUUUUCCUCCAAUAUUUCAUUUAUUUUGGAGAAGUCAUAUUAUCUCCUCUCAUAUAUUUUAAUAUGAAAUAUUUUCGGAGAGAAAAAUAAUUAAAACCAAAAAUCCUCAUUUCAAUAUUUGAUAAAACUCAAAUAUGAAAACAGGGAAAUCCCCAACUCUCUCUCCGAGGGUCCUUGAGUUGCUUAAGAUUUCGAGGAUCGCGAAACAAAAUGCAAUAAAAUAUGAUAUGCAUGAAUGAUCUAUGUAUAACAUUCCAAAUUGAAAAUUUGGGAUGUUACAAACCUACCCCCCUUAAGAUGAAUCUCGCCCUCGAGAUUCGGGUUGGCUAGAAAAUAGGUGCGGGUGGUCUUUGCGAAGAUCAUCCUCUCGUUCCCAGGUGGCUUCUUCCGCGGUAUGGUGACUCCACUGAACUUUGCAAAACUUGAUAACCUUGCUGCGGGUGACUCGGCUGGCAAUUUCAAGAAUCCUGACUGGCUUCUCCUCAUAGGUCAGAUCAUUGUCCAACUGAAUCGCCUCCAAGGGCACCGUAUCUCUUAGUGGUAUAUCGGCCAUCUCAGCAUGACACUUCUUCAACUGGGAAACAUGAAACACAUCAUGAACUCCUGACAGUCCUUCAGAUAACUCCAACUUGUAGGCAACUUCUCCCAUAUGUUCCAAAAUUCGAUACGGUCUUACAAAUCUCGGGGCUAAUUUUUCCUUAACUCCAAAACGUUUCACUCCUCGCAAGGGUGACACUCGUAGAUAUGCUCUAUCUCCAAUUUCAUAGGUUAUUUUCUUGCGUUUCGAGUCUGCAUAACUCUUUUGCCUGGACUGAGCUAUCUUCAGUCUAUCUCUAAUCAACUUAACCUUUUCUUCAGACUCCUUGAUCAAAUCUGGUCCAAACAACGGAUGGUCUCCAACUUCAUCCCAUAACAAUGGUGUUCUGCACCUUCGUCCAUACAAGGCUUCGAACGGUGCCAUCUUUAAACUGGCUUGAUAGCUAUUGUUGUAUGAGAACUUCGUGUAGGGCAAAUUGUCAUCCCAACUAGAUCCAUCAUCUAGCGCACAGGCCCUCAACAUAUCCUCCAGAAUCCGGUUGACUCUCUCGGUCUGUCCAUCCGUCUGUGGGUGGAAUGUUGUACUGAACUCCAACCUUGUUCCCAAAGUCUGGUGUAGUUGAUGCCAAAACUUUGAGGUAAACUGUGUUCCUCUAUCUGAUACUAUGGUCCUUGAAACUCCAUGCAGACAUACAAUCCUGGUCAUGUAUAUCUUGGCUAACUUCGCACUUGUAUAGGUGGUUUUCACUGGGAUAAAGUGAGCCACUUUGGUCAAGCGAUCAACUACUACCCAUAUAGAAUCAUAUCCUGAUUUGCUCCUGGGUAAUCCGGUGAUAAAAUCCAUGCCAAGUUUAUCCCACUUCCAUUCGGGUAUCGGCAUAGGUUGUAACAAUCCUGCUGGCUUUUGAUGUUCAACCUUCACUCUCUGACAUACAUCACAUACGGCUACAUACUCGGCAAUAUCUUUCUUCAUACCAGUCCACCAGAAACGCUCCUUCAGAUCCAAAUACAUCUUGGUGUUUCCGGGGUGUAUCGAGUAUGGUGAGUCAUGAGCCUCCUGAAGUAUUAACUUCCUGAUCUCUGUGUUAUUGGGCACAUAAAUACGGUCCUCAAACCAUAAGGUGUCGUGCUCAUCCUCACGAAAACCUUUGGCCUUUCCUUUGCCCAUUCUCUCCUUUAUCUCAGUAAUCUCUUUGUCAUCCUUCUGAGCUUCUCGAAUCUUUUCUAACAAUGUAGACUGAACCUCUAUUGUUGCAACAAAACCUCUAGGAACAAUCUCCAAUCGAAGUUCCCUGAGAUCCUGCUAACUCCUUUGGCAAUCUCGUGCUUAUUAGGGUAUUAGCAUAACUCUUCCGGCUCAAAGCGUCGGCUACGACACUGGCCUUGCCUGGAUGAUAGUGAAGCUUCAUAUCAUAAUCCUUUAUAAGCUCCAACCAUCUCCUCUGCCUAAGGUUCAACUCCUUCUGUGUGAAAAUGUACUUCAAACUCUUAUGAUCCGUGUACACAUCACAACGAUUUCCAAUAAGGUAAUGUCUCCAAGCCUUGAGCGGAUGCACUACAACUGCUAACUCCAAAUCAUGUGUGGCAUAAUUCAAUUCGUGCGGUUUUAGUUGUCGUGAGGCAUACGAAACAACUCUUCUGUCUUGCAUAAGCACACUCCCAAGUCCUAGGCGAGAGGCAUCGCAGUACACUUGAAACUCUUUACGUAUAUCCGGCAGAAUCAGUACUGGAGUUGUCGUCAAACGUUUCUUUAACUCCUGAAAACUUGCCUCACAUUCUUCCGUCCAUUUAAAUUUGCUAUCCUUCUUCAAUAACUCCGUCAUUGGCUUCGCAAUCUUGGAAAAAAUUUCAAUGAAUCUCCGAUAGUAUCCUGCGAGUCCAAGAAAACUGCGGAUCUCGCAAACUGAAGUGGGUGCCAACCAUUCAGUAACUGACCAAACCUCGGUAGGAUCUACUGCUACACCUUCUUCUGAUAUACAUGUCUAAGGAAUCUGACUUCCUUCAACCAAAACUCACAUUUGCUGAACUUGGCAUACAACUGGUGUUCCAUGAGUUUCUCGAGAACUAAACACAAAUGCUCCUUGUGCUCCUCCUCAUUCUUCGAGUAUACCAUUAUAUCAUCUAUGAACACCACAACAAACUUAUCCAAAUAUUCCAUGAACACCUUGUUCAUCAUGCUCAUGAAAUAGGCAGGGGCGUUAGUCAGUCCGAAUGACAUGACCGUAUACUCAUACAACCCGUGCCGUGUGGUGAGUGAUGUCUUUGGUAUAUCCUUCUCUCGAAUCUUCAGCUGGUGAUAUCCUGAUCGCAAAUCGAUCUUUGAAAACACCUUUGCUCCUUGCAGCUGGUUAAACAAAUCAUUGAUCAUCGGCAGUGGGUAUUUGUUCUUGAUCGUCACCUCAUUCAAUGCACGAUAAUCAACAACCAUCCUUAGAGACUUAUCCUUCUUCUCAACCAAAAGCACUUGGGCUCCCCAUGGUGAUGAACAAGUCCUCCCGAGUUCAGGGUUAGGCGAGGUUUCUGCUGAGUUCCUAAAUUAUAUCUUCCUUGUCCAUCUCCCGUGCCAACUCUCCGGUUAGGCCGGACCCUCCACGGAACCUGGCCCGGAACCUCCGGCUCCCGGACCUUCCGGCCUCGCCCGAAACUUCCGGCCCUGCCUGUGCGCAGUGACUUGGGCUGAGGCCCGUGUACCCUUUCACCCCCGAGACUAUAUAUACUCUUCUUCUACCUACGUUUUAGGGUUAGCAAAGUAGUAUCUCAUUGAGAAGCUUUGCUCUCCACUUAAUCCACUUCUCCUUAGGAGUUCACGACCUCUACGGGGAAGAUCCCUCAAGUGGAUUCAAGACCCCUCACGAAAAGACCCCUCAAGACCUCCUCACGGAGAAGAACGUGCUACUUGUAUUGCCCCUUGUUUAUCGUGGAUAUUGUAUCUUUUUAUGUUUUGAGAAUCUAGCACAUGUGUAACCAGAUCUUGUUGGUUUGAGUGAUUUCUCCCGUGUUUUCCUCGUGCUUCUCUUGUGUUUCUCCUUGUUCCUCGUGUUCUUCGCGGGAUUCACUCCUUUCGUGAAAGAUCAGGCAUCUAGGGUUCUGCCCUACAUCACCUCCUCUACGAGGCCAACUACCCGGCUCGCCCAGACAUGCGGGUGCCGGGCUCGUGGAGGCUAAGCGCCGACGGCGUCCCGGUGCCCCCAGUGCCCACCGGGGCUGAACGGCGCGCCGAGAUCGACCGCAUCCGUUCGUCGCUGUCAGAGGCGCAGCGAAACGAGCCGAGGUACGCCACCGACAGCCACACGCCGUGGACGAUGUACUUCGACCACCGCCACGAAGACCAGGUCGCCUCCGCAAACGACACCAUUCCCCGCGGCCGCCUCUACGCCGACGGGCGGCGCGAAUGGUGGGGCGUGCCCGACCGCACCCUCGAGGGCGUCCUCGACCACAUCGAGACCGGCAACACGCCGCGCCUCGAGUACCCAGCGCCCCGUCCUUCUCUCGCCGCCGUGGUAGUUCUUCAACGCCGCGAUGAAUGGAGGAGGCGACCUUCUCAUCGUGGGGUUCCCGUUCGCUCUCCUCUAGGUCGCCGGUGCUCCGCCCCGUCAAGACGGAGCUGCAGGAGACGCCGCUUGGGCACCGUACCCGUAGCGGCGCCCUAGUCAUCAACGAGGGCGGCCGCCCCUCCCCUCGUCCCCUCCGUCUCGUCCGGUCGAAGACCGAGCUGGGGUUGCGCUACGUCAAGAAGGAGCACGUGGAGAUGACCGCCGCCGACGAGACCGUCCUCAAGUGGGCGAAGGCGGACUAUGUCCGCGAGCAGGUGGAGCGCCAGCCCGGGCCUACGUGGAGAUCAAGGCCCGGUGCCGCGAACGCGACAAGGGCGGCGGCGUUGUCUUCGACAGCGACGACGAGGACGCGUCUGGGCCGUCCAACCCCCGGCGCGUCGGCGACCCUGGUCAGAAGUGCUGCAGGGACGGCGGCGGCUCCGGCGGAACGUAGGGCGGCGGUGGCGACGACAACGACAACUACUACACCCGGUUCUAUAGGCUUCUCGGCAUGUAGAAGGCGGGCGGCGGCAACGGCAUAGUAGGGCUAGGCGUAGUAGGCGUACUUUGUUUUCUGUUUUUUUACAAAUUUGAAUAAAAAUCGUCGAGUUUGUGUCUGUGUUUGUACAAAUUUGAACCAAAUCACCGAGUUUGCCUCGAGUUUUCGCCAAUUUGAGGGCGACCUGGGAGCGGGAGCGGGAACAUAAUCGCCCCUGCGCCGAAGGUAAACGCCGAUUCAGCUCGAGACAGCGCUUUUUCGGUGCUCUUACACUUUGGCCGCGAUCCAAACAUUAGGGCAUGUACAAUGGUUGAUAAGAUAGUCUUAUCUUAAGUCUUGCAUGUGAUUUAGAGAUGGCAAAUUUUUUUAUCUACAAUGGGUCAUAUCUUAGCCUUAUCUUCAAUAACUAGUAAUUCCUAAAAUUGUGGUGAGACAUAUUGUGCUAAGAGAUCACCUCUUGUCUUCUCUUAAAUAAGAGAAGACAAGUCUUUUCUUAUGAGUUCUUUUUCCUCCACCUCGUCAUCUAUCCUACAUGGCAUUGCUAAGAUAGAACCAUUGUACAUGCCCUUAACCUCCCAACCACGGCACCUCCGUUAUCCCAUCCGCUCUCUCGCGGUCUGUGCUCCACUCCACUCCGCCCCCCAUCCCACCCCCGCCCACGCCGCCGCCAUGGUCGCGCUCGCCUCCCUCUCUUCUCUGUGCCUCUGCGGCUCCGCUCGCCGCCGUUCUGCCUCCGCACCCACCUCCAUAUCAUGCUGUGUGCUCGCAACUCCCUCCGGCAGAGGUAAAUGUCUCGACUUUCUGAACCUUCAUCCCCUGUUGACGAACCUGUCCUUUCUCUCGCCCGAAAUCGGCCUAUCAAUGCGCUUCUCCUCCUUAUAUCUCACAGGGUCUCAUGAAUCUAGAAUACCCCGUAGAAGGUUCCGGAGAACCGAGGGUGCUACUAAGAGCAUGGAAGAUUCAGUCAAGCGAAAGAUGGAGCAGUUCUACGAAGGGGUGGAUGGUCCGCCCCUCCGGGUCCUCCCAAUCGGCGGCCUUGGGGAAAUCGGUAUGAAUUGCAUGCUCGUCGGGAACUAUGACCGUUAUAUCCUGAUUGAUGCAGGGGUUAUGUUCCCAGAGUAUGUGUUUCAUACUUGCAUUCCUGUAGCUUGCUAAUCUGUUUCUGCGUGUGUCAUCCUUAUAAUGCAUUUUCUGACCACAUUUUUAGAAACCAUAUUCAAGUGAGGACUUUGAUGAACAACUGCUUCUCUUGUAAAUCACACUGCUUCACAAGGACUUAGAUGUUUAUGCGGAUUCUCUAGGUAGACGUGUAUAAUGUGCAUGUAUAGAAUUUCCUGUUCACUUACUGCAUGCAUCCUUAGUUCGUCCGGAGGCCGGGAGGAAAACUGUCAUUAUCUAUUGUUUCCUGUCCACACGUGUGCUGAAUUUUGACGUAGUGCAUUUUACUUGAACUUAUGUCAGCUACGACGAGUUUGGUGUGCAAAAGAUUAUUCCCGACACAACUUUCAUCAAGAAAUGGAGCCACAAAAUUGAAGCAGUUAUUAUUACACAUGGCCAUGAAGAUCACAUCGGUGCGUUGCCUUGGGUAAAUAAUUCUUCUGUUACUCUAAUACAACAUUUAUUAUGCUUGCUUGGCUAUCUGCCGCUCACUUAAUUAUGUGAUAAUGAUAUGGAAACUAACAGUCCUGUAUCAUAUUUUGAGUCACAAUAGCACAAUGGAACUCCCUGGUUGACAAGUUAGAACCUCUUGUUUACAGUCUCAUUCUUUUCAUGCGCAACAUGUCUUAAUUGUCAAACUUCAAAGAUAGGUAGUUUUGUUAUAGAACACCCUCUUCGUUGUAUAAUACAUGCAAUCCUGAGCCAAAGUUUCCCUUUGCUGAAUAACAUCUUUCAGAAAUAGCUCCAGUGGCAAUUAAAUCCAAGAGCUGUCAACAUGAUGCCACAUGUCAAGUGUUCUUAUGAGGAAAAUCAUGUGGCACCACUAGUAUUUGUUAUGCCAGAUCUUCUAAUUUGGAGGAAGUACUCUUGAUCUUUUCUUCUAGAGCAUUGAGUGGGAAAUAGUUAUUCCAUCAUUAACAAUCUUUGCUUUCAAGGCUUAGAUCGAUUUUGAUUUAUCUCAAUGUUAGAUGUAUGACUUGGACAAGAAGUCACAUAAUUUUAUUUUGUGAAUACCAUAGUUUUUCUUUGAGUUAAUUUGGGCAGGGCUUGUUCAAACAGGGCACACUUAAAUUAUACACGAGCAUGCCAAUGUUUGGCAUCUGGUUAGCUCUUCUUGUGUAUACACUUUUUCUGCGUUUUUGUUAUUUUACAUGUUGCUUUUCAUAGACACUGCUAACUUGAUAUCUUGAGAUGAUAUUUCUGAGCCUUUUUAGCUUCCAAUUGCAUCCACCUUUGGAAUAUGCUCAGCUGUCCCUUCAUCGUUUCUGCUGAUAGGUUAUUCCUGCACUGGAUUCGACCACACCUAUUUUUGCGUCAUCUUUUACGAUGGAGGUAACACUCAAUUGUUUGAUCACUGCUUGCAUGUUUCAUGAUGUUGAUGUAUUAUUACUUGUAUAUUUGCUGCCAAAUCUUCAAAAGUUAUGACAUGAAUUUAUUCAUAUUUGGGCAGCUCAUAAAGAAGCGUUUGAAGGAGUUUGGGAUUUUUCUCUCAUCCAGGCUAAAGAGUUUUAGAGUUAGAAAUAGGUUUCAGGCUGGUCCAUUUGAAGUGGAACCUAUCCGUGUAACUCAUUCAAUUCCUGACUGCUGUGGAUUAGUGCUUCGUUGUGGUGAUGGCACAAUUUUCCAUACUGGUGACUGGAAAGUAAGUUAUAUCAGCAAUAAUUGUACACUAUGUUCUUUAACUGGACUGUUUGGUUAACUUAUUUUCAAUUAAAGAUUGAUGAAUCACCAGUGGAUGGGAGAAUAUUCGACCGAGAAGCAUUGGAGGAGCUCUCGAAAGAAGGUGUUACUCUGGUAAGUUGAUCCCUAUUGACUAAGAUCUGUACCUUUUUUCCCAAUUCUUUAGGUCUUUGGCAUAUAUUUCACCUAUGCAAUAUUGUACAAAGAUACUCCCUCAUUGCCAAAAUGUAAAGACAUAUAUUUUUUUUUCCUAAGUCAAACUUUGUAAAAUUUUCCAAUAAUAUGGUAUUCUAGAUGUUGAUAUUUGGGAACCACUAGCGAUCAGACUACUGACAACUAGGUUUCAUCAGACUAGUCCCCCACCAUAUGAUUGAAUUCUUUUGAAGCGUCGGAUUGAGCCGGAUGAAUGUUACUAGCUGUAUUUACUGCUAGUUUUGGUAAAUCGUGAUUUGCUUCCACCAAAUAAAUAUAGAAGUUAAUGCUUCCCGGAAAUUGCGUUAGAUACUCCAUUUUCUUUUUUCUUUUUGGUAAGUCUGUUGCUUCCAAUGAACAAAUACAGAAAUCAAUGCUUCACAGAUAUUAGAGAUUUGCUUCCAACAAACAAAGUAAGGAAAUUAAAUGUUUGUGUAUACUAUGUUUUUUGGUAAGUUGAUGGAAGCAUCGUGCGAUGGGAACAUAUUAUUCGAAGUGUGAUUGAUAUCUGUUUCAAGGAAGCAUUAUUCAAGGUUGUGGUACCAUAUUUUAGAUGCUUUGGAAACAUUUUUUAUGGAAACAUUUGCUUCGCAAUGGAAAUUAUGUGGAUCAACGACAUGAGUAUACACAAACACAAAUUCAUUUGGUAGGAAAAAUUGACAUCUCUUUUUGUAACGUCACUAAUUUUACUUCGGCAUAGCCAGCAUGGAUGCGUGAGUGUAUUUUUUUGAUGUUGUGAUGCAGUAGAAAUAUGCUUCAAAAGACCAGAUAAUUGUUUCCAAUGUACCAGUAAAUUGCUUCCAAGGAUGUUUGUUUCCAAGCAGACUUAUUUACCAUCAAAGCACAUCAUUGGUUUGAAACCAAGUGGACUAUUGCUUCCAAAGAAACAAGAAUGUGCAUCCAAAAAAUUCAGAAUGUGCUUCCAUAAAACAUAACAUGGCAUCUACAAACAACGUCGGGUAGAUGGAAACCAUGCUUCCUUUCGAUGUUGGCCGUGCUUCGUUGCGAUGGUAAUCAUGCUCCCAAUGCUGGACGUGCAUGGUAGUCAUGCUUCCUUACUGUGCUGGUUGUGUUUCUUUGUGAUUGUAUCCGUGCUUCCUUUCUAUGGUGGACUUUUAUCACACCGUGGUUAGCAGCAUCAAGAAGGAUUGACAUGGAUGGAGCGGCGCUGCAGCUGCACCACUAGCCGAGGACCACUUUGACAACAAACAUAGGUCAGCCGAAUAUAUCGAAUUAAACCUAGCUAGGUAAACUGAGGACGUGAGGCACUGUUUCGUGCAGCCGGCCGGGCGCGUUCCCAUCGCUUUCGAGAAGGGAUGGCACUUGAGGUACAGGAGGCAAUCUCCUGUCUCUUGGUGAUUCCCUGAUGCUUAUUUAGGCCCCCUACUGGGAUGGGCCUCACGGCCACCUGCUCAUCAAGCACAUAAAAUGAUAAGAAUCAGUCAUAACAUAAUCAAAUCAAAGUGACGUGAAAAGCAAAAUAGUGAGGAGCGCAUAUGUUAAUGUUUUACUACCGUGGUUGAAGGUUCAGAGGUUUUGUUAUCUUACAUCGACUGAAAUUCUGCAAGUACAUGAAAUCUGACUUACAUGACUUACGAAGCCUUUUAUCCCAAACAAGUUGGGGUAGGCUAGAUAUGAAACCCUUUCAUGAGGACUUCCCAGGAGGUCACCCAUCCUAGUACUACUCUCACCCAAAUGGGUUUCAUACCCAAAAGACUGGCUAGUUUUUACGUUGGCUCGCCAAGCCGAUCAGAACCCUUAGAUAUGAAACCCUUUCACGAGGACUUCCCAGGAGGUCACCCAUCCUAAUACUACUCUCGCUCAAAUGGGUUUCAUACCUAUGGGACUGGCUAGUUUUUACGUUGGCUCGCCACGCCUAUCACAACCCUCCUCCUUUACCCGGGCUUGGGACCGGCUAUGCCUAGAAGACAUAGGCGGAGUUGCAAGUACAUGAAAUCUAAAUAGAUUUUUUUUGCGGGAAGAAAUCUAAAUAGAUUAACACAGAUCUCACCCUUGGUGUGCCUCCAAGCCACUUAAAUUCUGCAAAUACGCGACGGAGGAUCAUAAUCUGGCAAGAGGGCUACCUGUGUCGGAGGUGAACAUUGGAGAACGACGGGGAUGUGGGCUCGUCGAUGACACCAUGGAGAACAACGUGCGCAGUAGCCCGGGGGCGUGUCAAGAAGUAGGACGGGGCAGGGAUCCAACCUCUGGUUGGGAUGCCUCUGGCAGAGAGUAGAGGGGCGGCGGGGUGGAUGAUCGAUGACCCCGAUGGAGAGGAAGGUCGGAGGUAGGAGAGAGAAAAGUGGUGCUGAUUGAUUUGGGAGAAAGAUAACGGGGCGAGGGAUUACGGGAAGGUACUGCGUGAAAAACUGGAGGAGCAUUAAAAGAUGAUUCUUUUGUGAUCUCUUGGCCGUGAGAUGAAGCAUGAAUCAACGGCUUACGCGUGGUCUGAGGAUGUCCUCGUAUCAGACUAUAGAUAGAAAGUGUUUCCCUUGAUAUUUUUCUCUGUGAACUUGGUCAAACUUCAAAUUUGACCUUAUAUUUAAAGCUACACAUUUACUAUGAAAAAAGAACUACAAAUAUUUAAAAACUAAAGAAGUGUUGAGCCAGGUCUCACCUGGCAUAAGAAGUUCUUCGUUUGUAUGAUCCUAACUAUAUAUUUCUGUUUUUUCUCUCAAUUCAAGAUGAUGAGCGACUCAACAAAUAUUCUGUCCCCUGGAAGAUCCACCAGUGAAUCUGUUGUCGCUAGUUCAUUGUUGCGUCAUGUUUCAGAAGCAAAAGGGAGAAGAGUAAUUACAACACAAUUUGCUUCAAAUAUACAUCGCAUUGGGAGCAUCAAAGCUGCUGCAGACUUAACUGGUCGAAGGCUGGUAAUCUUUGAAUCUUAGUUCAACAGACUACACCACACCUCGUUUAAUUUGAUGAUUUUUGUAGUUCAUAGUUUCUUAGUCUGUGGUUUUGGUAAACUGAAACAGGUCUUUGUUGGAAUGUCACUGCGGACGUACCUUGAGGCUGCUUUUAGGGAUGGAAAGGCACCACUGGAUCCAUCAACCUUGGUAUGCAGCAACUUACUUGAUAAGUUACUUAUUCAACUGUUAUUGUGAUUGUUGUGAAUGAUGCAGUUUUGGAACUGUCUCUUUUUACUGCCUAUUGGCGAUCUGUUCAAUUGAUGUUCUUGUGUCAGCACAAUCUGCUUUCAGCUAUCUACUUUAUCUUCAUUGUAUGGCGCUCCUGUCAGUAUACUCAAGGGGCUUGAAUGCUAGUUGCAGAAGUUUUAGCAGCUCCUACAGUAGCUCGAUGCUUGACUGUGUUCUGCCCAAGUGAACACCUUUCUGUUUUCCUUAACCCAUGUACUGUGUUUACCUCAAUAAAAUUCAGUUAGCUCCCUGUUGUGGCAAAAAGAAAAGUGUGUGUGUGUGUGUGUGUGCGCGCGCGUGCGCGCGCGAACUAGCAAGCGAUAUCUACAUGCGAAAACACCUAAAGGGGCCUACGAAUUCCUUCUAACAUAACUUGAGUUAAUGGACACAUAGAUAUGUCUACUUGUUAUGGCUGGUUUAGCUAGGCCCACCGGGCAAUCUUAGCCCACAAGUUAUCUUAGGUUAAUUCUUAUGCAAGUUAUCUAGGUUAUAAAUAUAGACCGUAAGACUCCUUUUGGAAUUAAGCAAGAAGCAAUCAAUAUUUGCUCGGCUUCCCUUAAGGAGCCGGGAGACCUAAACCCUAGCCGCCUCUUGCGUCCGCCGCCGUCGCACCAGCCGCAAGGACGGCGCCCGGCCCCCGGCCGCCGGCCGCCGGCCGCCGCGCAAUCUCCUCCGACCUCCUCCCUCCUUUCCUUACAGGCUACGCCCUAGACCGGGUAGAACCCUAGUUUCUACCAAUUUGGUAUCCAGAGACUCGGGUUCGAUCAUGUCGUCAUCAACACCCANNNNNNNNNNNNNNNNNNNNNNNNNNNNNNNNNNNNNNNNNNNNNNNNNNNNNNNNNNNNNNNNNNNNNNNNNNNNNNNNNNNNNNNNNNNNNNNNNNNNNNNNNNNNNNNNNNNNNNNNNNNNNNNNNNNNNNNNNNNNNNNNNNNNNNNNNNNNNNNNNNNNNNNNNNNNNNNNNNNNNNNNNNNNNNNNNNNNNNNNNNNNNNNNNNNNNNNNNNNNNNNNNNNNNNNNNNNNNNNNNNNNNNNNNNNNNNNNNNNNNNNNNNNNNNNNNNNNNNNNNNNNNNNNNNNNNNNNNNNNNNNNNNNNNNNNNNNNNNNNNNNNNNNNNNNNNNNNNNNNNNNNNNNNNNNNNNNNNNNNNNNNNNNNNNNNNNNNNNNNNNNNNNNNNNNNNNNNNNNNNNNNNNNNNNNNNNNNNNNNNNNNNNNNNNNNNNNNNNNNNNNNNNNNNNNNNNNNNNNNNNNNNNNNNNNNNNNNNNNNNNNNNNNNNNNNNNNNNNNNNNNNNNNNNNNNNNNNNNNNNNNNNNNNNNNNNNNNNNNNNNNNNNNNNNNNNNNNNNNNNNNNNNNNNNNNNNNNNNNNNNNNNNNNNNNNNNNNNNNNNNNNNNNNNNNNNNNNNNNNNNNNNNNNNNNNNNNNNNNNNNNNNNNNNNNNNNNNNNNNNNNNNNNNNNNNNNNNNNNNNNNNNNNNNNNNNNNNNNNNNNNNNNNNGCGCCGCAGUGGCUGCACUGGCCCGCGCCGGCCCCAGCCGCGCCGGUCCAGCUCCCACCGCCGCCGCCCAGCUCCGGAUUGGGCCAGUCCACACCGGGAGGACUUCCGAUCCAGCAGAUCUGGUUUCCGCCGUCACCGUCCCCGAUCCCGGCCUGGCUAACCGGGACGUCGCCACCGCCAGUUUACACAGAGGCCGGGGACCCACCGGUACCCACGCUGCAGUUUGGGGCCUCGUCCAGCUCCACGGGGGCCUACGACGGCCUCCCCACCGUUGACCGGGUACCGUCAUCAUCACUGCUCCGCACCGCCGAGCCGGUCGGCCAUGGCGCGCCGACCCAGACGCCGCCACGGUUCGCCAAGAUCGAUUUCGCCACUUAUGACGGCACGGAGGACCCGCUUAACUGGCUCAACCAGUGUGAGCAGUUUUUCCGUUGCCAGCGCACGCUCGCGUCGGAGCGCACUUGGCUGGCAUCCUACCACCUCCGCGGUGCAGCCCAGACCUGGUACUAUGCCCUCGAGCAGGACGAGGGCAGCAUGCCCCCUUGGGAGCGCUUCCGCGAGCUCUGCCUCCUUCGCUUUGGGCCUCCGGUUCGCGGGAGCCGCCUGGUGGAGCUCGGCCGCCUUCCCUUCACCUCCACGGUGCAGGACUUCGCCGACCGUUUCCAGGCCCUGGCAUGCCAUGCGUCGGGCGUGACGCCGCAGCAGCGGGCCGACCUCUUUGUCGGUGGACUUCCGGAUCACACCCGCGUGGACGUGGAGCUUCGGGGACCCCAGGAUCUCCAGUCGGCCAUGUACUACGCCCGCGUGUUCGAAUCACCGUCCCGGACCAUUGGGUCGCUACCCGGGCCGGAUUCCGCGCAGGGUCGGCCUGCGCAGGCUUCUGCGGCACCCCUCGCCGCGACCGCGGCGCGCCCGUUCCGCCGGCUCACCUCAGCCGAGCUACUCGAGCGUCGCCGCCAAGGGCUGUGCUUCAACUGCGACGAGCCCUACACGCCCGGCCAUGCCUGCCCGCGACUCUUCUACCUGGAGGUUGCAGACUACAUUCCGGAGGAUGCCGUCGCCGCCGACCUGGCCGCCCCAGCUGUCGAGAAGGUGUUUGACGCUGGUUGAUCGCCUCGAGGAGUUCCGCAAGCGCUUCCCCACCUUACAGCUCGAGGACGAGCUGUUUGUGCAGGCGGGGAGAAGUGUUAUGGCCGGUUUAGCUAGGCCCACCGGGCAAUCUUAGCCCACAAGUUAUCUUAGGUUAAUUCUUAUGCAAGUUAUCUAGGUUAUAAAUAUAGAUUGUAAGACUCCUUUUGGAAUUAAGCAAGAAGCAAUCAAUAUUUGCUCGGCUUCCCUUAAGGAGCCGGGAGACCUAAACCCUAGCCGCCUCUUGCGUCCGCCGCCGUCGCACCAGCCUCAAGGACGGCGCCCAGCCGCCGGCCGCUGCGCAAUCUCCUCCGACCUCCUCCCUCCUUUCCUUACAGGCUAUGCCAUAGACCGGGUAGAACCCUAGUUUCUACCACUACUAUAUAAAGGGGCUGACCCCUCUCAAUAAAGCAGAGAAGAAUAUUGUUGUUUACUUUUAUCUACUUUUCGGUAAUUAGGGUUUGUGUCAGUAGUAGAUUCCAGCAGUCUUUUGAUAUCCCACAUGAUGAUGCAACAAAGUGGUGUUCAUAAUUUCAGAACCUUUCUGCAGGUUAAGGCAGAGGACAUGGAUGCAUAUGACCCUAAAAAUCUUUUAGUCGUUACUACAGGUUCACAGGUAAGAGUUACAGGCUAAGUGGUCCUCAGAAUCAGUUGGUCAUUCACAUUCUUAUAAUUCUUGCAUCUCUGUAUAAAAUUUGUCCAGGCAGAGCCACGUGCGGCUCUGAAUCUCGCAUCUUAUGGUGGGAGCCAUGCUCUUAAACUAUCCAAAGAGGACGUCCUUCUUUAUUCAGCUAAGGUAUUGCUCAUGUAGUAUCAUUGAGUUGUUUCAAGAACCUUUGAGAUUAGUCAGAUGGAACGGAGUCAUAUAUUUUUGCUCCGUGUGCAUUCUUGACUCUGUCAGCUUUCUUGAGCAUGACUUUCUUAAUUUCUGAAGAAAUUGGUACCCCCUCUAUUUGGAGAUGCAGGAUGUCGUUUGACUGUCCAAUUUUAAGCUUUGAUCCUUGAUGUAUUAAUCCAAUAAUAUGUGGGUUAUGUUACACAAAAUUUACUUUCUCAUGAUUGUGUUACAACUAAUUACAUUCUAGCUAAAAAGCACGGAUACGUGGAUGGAAAGAUGGCGACACACAUACGGGGACACGGGAUACGGCAUUUUCCAAAAACAGCCAUUCAGGGAUAUGGCGAGUAUAUAACAAAAAUCAAAACAUGCCAUGUAAUAUAGAGUUAAAAACAAAAAAAGAAGAAGAGAAACUAAGAUGAGAUCAGAAUACUGCCCCAUUUCUAUUUGUUGUCUGAUGUCAGUGCUUGAUUGAAUUAAUUGAUCUUCUAGAGAGACCCAUGUUAUUGCAACUUCCAUAAUACAUCAAAUGUUAGUGUUAGUCCAUUAGAGAGUAGAGACUGGAGAAGACACAGCAGAAAAUGCAGGUGUAACUUUCACCCUCACUCACGGAUGAUUGGCUACCGGCAGUGGUGCUCCCAGACGCCAUGCUCCCUAGCAUCAAGCAGCAACCAGACACCAGCAUGUAAGUGAGCAGCAGCUCAAGAGCAAGCAGCAACUGCAUGGCCACAUGGGAAGCAAGCAGCAGCAACUCAACAGCAAGAAAUUGAGCAAAGAGAUGAAGAGGUUUUUUUUUUCCUGAGAGAAAGAGAUGAAGAGGUUGAGGAGAGGCUGCUGGGGUUAUCUGCUCGAGCGUGGUUGCCAUCGGGAGGUCGAGUCCUGGUGGUGGCUGCAGCGGUCGAGUCCUGGCGGCGGCGGCGGUCGAGUCCUGGUGACGGCGGCGGUCCUCGAACCCAGGCGUUGGCGGCGCUCGAAUCCAGGCGGCGACGGCGCGUUCGGUUGGGAGCAGCGGUCCUUUCGUGGUGAGCGUGUGUGCAACCCUGCAAAAUAGGGUUUGUACUGGGCCAAGGCUGUUUGUUAUUGGGCUUCCCGUGUCCCCAAUGUGUCCCAGCCGUGUCUUUCCUUUUUUACUUUUUUUUAAUCCGAGAAUCAGGGGAUACUGGGGUCAUGCGUAUUCCGGUGUGUCCGGCCGUAUCGCCGUGUCCCACCGAAUUAGGACGGCAAUUUGGCAGUUUUGGCCGUGUCCAUGCUUUGUAGCAUUCUAGUACACAUUUAUUUUUUGAAAUAUCAUUCCUCUUAACAAAUAUGCAUGAAAGGGCGCCAAAUGAAUUGGUGAAAAGCAUCUAACAUACCUUUGUUGUAGUAUUUAUGGUUGCAGGUCAACUGGUUUCUCCUUUGAGCAUAGCAUUGCCAAAUCUCAUCAUGCAUAUGCUUUUAUUUUCAGGUUAUCCCUGGAAACGAGUCCCGGGUAAUGAAGAUGUUAAAUCGCCUCACCGACCUUGGCCCCAAAAUUGUUAUGGGUAAAGAUGCUGGCCUCCAUACAUCUGGGCAUGCUUAUCACGAUGAACUGGUAAUUUUUUUCUCAUGUGUUGCUUUCUGCUCUUUGAUAUGCUUUCGUACCUGGUAACAAUAUAUACUACUACUAUCCCCGUUUGAAACUUCACCGUCUUUGCCAACUGAUUACAGAAAGCAGUUUUGUUUUGCUUGGUAGAACGCACCAUUGGAUGUUUCAUAAAAAUAGUUUUAAAGUAAUAUCAUUUUCAUAAUUUACUAUACAUAUAAAAAAGAACAGUCGAAGGUGCAUCUUGGAGAUUGUGUUUUGGAACGUCAUGCAUUUUUGUAACAUAGCGAGUAUACUGCUAUAGAAUUAGGCCUAGAUCUCCGUGUGAAAUGUUCUUAAUUCUGAUGUUAACUUGAGAUUAGAGGAGAUAAUGUGUCUUUAAUUUGUUAUUUCCAGGAGGAAGUUCUACAGAUUGUUAAACCGCAGCAUUUCUUGCCUGUUCAUGGGGAACUCUUGUUUCUCAAAGAACAUGAAUUGCUAGGAAGGUCAACUGGCAUAAAGCACACUACUGUAAGUAAUCUGUCUUCCAUGGUUUGGGACUUCAGGUAUCUUAGUGCCAUAGAUGUAUAUGACUAUAUGCUAAGGGAGACAAACCUUAAACUUAAUGUACUGCUGCUCAUUUUACGCCCCUAACACUAAAAAUGAUGGCAUGAUGUUUUUUUUUUGUUAGCAUUGCCAUCAUAUAGACAUGUUCUUACUCCUUAUAUUGUCCAUUAUGUUAGCAUUUAGUAGGAUUUCUUAGUUGCUUAUUUUGAUUGCAGGUAAUUAAAAAUGGGGAGAUGCUUGGUGUAUCUCAUCUAAGAAACAGAAAGGUUUUGUCAAAUGGGUUUGUUUCUUUAGGGAAGCAGGACUUUAAGGUGAAUCAUUUAACCCUACUAUCUCUGUCUUGUCUCUUAACAGCUCUGAAACUUAACAUGAUGUACUUGAUAUUAUAGUUAAUGUAUACUGACGGAGACAAAGCUUUUGGAACGUCCACUGAUCUCUGCAUCGAUGAGAGAUUCAGGAUCGCAUCUGAUGGCAUUAUCUUUGUCAGGUAAUUUCUCACACGGUUUUGGGGCAUUUGUCAUGAUGUUUAUCUUCAGCAGAAGUUGUUUUUAGUUGUGAAUCAGAGGACCCCCAAAAUGCAUCUGAACAUUGUUGAGAUGAUAAAACAGUAUGCAGUGUUUGUUUUUACUUUUUAGGCACCCCCAAAAUGCUAAACAUAUUAUUUGUUCCCUGCAGCAUGGAGAUCUUCCGACCUAAACCUGCUUCACCACAGUCUGGCUUGAAAGGGAAAUUUAAAAUAACAACACGGUGUCUAUGGCUUGAUAAUGGGAGACUACUUGAUGCACUUUACAAGGCUGCGCAUGCAGCAUUGUCAAGCUGUCCUUUGAAUUGCCCACUUAGUCACAUGGAGCGAAUGGUAUCUGAAAUCUUGAGGAAAAUGGUCAGAAAGUACAGUGGAAAGAGACCUGACGUCAUUGUAGUUGCUUCAGAGAACACUACAGUAGGUUUCUCAGAAGAGGUAAUAAAUAGGCAUAUGAGUCUUGUAGACUAUGAGAAAACACGGCCAGAGAACCCAGAGCGUGAGGCUGAAGGUAUGAAGCGGCAAGUAUUUGAUAUGUUACUUUGUUUAUCCCUGGAACUUUAAACACUAGUUGUUAGUUCAGUUGUCAACAUUUCAUGUAGUUGUGGAUCAGUUCGUGCCAAUGAUGUCAUUACAUUGUUUGCAGAGAGCAUCCCUGAGGUCAUGAGAACAACACCUGACGAUGCAACGACUAGCUCCAAUGGUGAAUCAUUCUUCUCUCCUGAUUUACAUCAGCCUAAAACAUUGGAUCAUUUUUGGGAGUCGUUCAAGUCCCCUACAGCAGUAAAAAUUGCAAGAAUUGUCAAUGCUUCAGCUCAAGGGAACAAACCAAAGCUCGGCAAGAUCAGCAUAAUUGAUAAGGAUUCCAGCACGUCAGCUCCUGCUCCAGCCAAAUCUUCAAGAAAGAACAAGUGGAAGCCCGAGGAAAUUAAGAGCUUAAUACAGCUGCGUGGAGAAAUGAAUGAGAAAUUCCAAACCGUCAAAGGAAGAAUGGUUAUGUGGGAAGAGAUAUCUGGUAGCCUGUUGAAGCAGGGGAUAACUCGUACACCAGCACAGUGCAAAUCUGUGUGGACAUCAUUGCUUCAGAAAUACGAGGUAGGUAGAUGAAACUCUGAAAUAUUGCAUAAACUCUAAAUAAGGUAUUUGGUUGGGCGGCUUAUAGGGCACAGAAAGCCACAGCCCAAGCCCAACAAAACAGCCCCAUAAUUCCAUUUUGGAUGUCAUAAUGUAAUCUUGCCAAUUAGUAUUAUUGGGUGAAAGCAUGCUAAUCUAUGCACUUAGCAGUAAAAAUUACCGAAUAUUUUUCUUCAAACAGAAGUACCAAAUAUUUUAUUUAUGUUUGCAGGAGAGCAAGAAGGAUGAAGAAAACAUGCGGACAUGGCAAUAUUUUUCGGCCAUGGAUAGUUUUUUAUCAUGCGAAGGGGAAAUGGCAACCAAAUGAAACAGAUCCGUAAUAAAUUGCUUAGUGAUAGUUAUUUGGAGAUCAGUGUAUUGUAAGGUAGUCCGCGAAUCAACAAGAAGAUUGUUAGAAGGGAGAGAGGGAUUGGUGGAAUAGUCCGUUGUUGUAUUGCUUGAGCCUCGUGGGCAUAUAUAUAUAGGAGUACAAUCAUCUAUUUGGAGUAUAAGACAAGCCAGAACAAAUCCUAGUCUAUCUCGUCUUUUUUAAUAAACAUUAUACUCAACAUCUCCCGCAGUCACAACGGUAGCGACGCAGACGGUGAGACUGGAGAAGAAUCCGAAGGCAAGCCGACGGACACCUCCUCACAGUCGUAACGGUUGAUGAUCGAUGCAUCGCGGAGUCGUGACUGGAGUGGCAAUCGACGAGGUUGCUCAAGCAAGGCGGUAGCCUUUUGUGUCAUUUGUCGAUGUAGUCAAGAGCGUGGAUGGUGGAGCCGUGGUUGAGGUAGUCGUACGAAGAAAGCCAUGGUCGAUGUCGAGUCGGGGUGGCCGGUGUCGAGGAAGUCGCCGUGGAGCCGCGAGCGCAAGAGGGCGCCGAGUUAGCAUGGGCGCAGUGAUGUCGAAGUAGGGGUGCGUCGAGAAGAAAAUGUUGUUGACGACGCGUCGCGGCGGGUUUGCCAAGCUCGGGGACACAUCGUGGACGAAGGCACGCACCGGUGUUGCCAGCACCGGGCAUGCGUAGACGGACGAAGACGAAGUUGACGAAGCGACGACCAGGCUUGCCAGGCCCGGGAACACGUCGUGGAUGAAGGCACGCAUCGGUGUUGCUAGCACCGGGCAUGCGUAGACUAGGGACCUGCACAAGCUGUACGCCAUGUCGGAGAAGUCAGAGGGGCCAGCAAAGAAGGACUCAACGACGAUUGCGGCGUCCAUCGGCGCGGUGCCGAUGUCACCAACGGUGGUCAGAGUAGACGAAGUGGACGGGGUAGAUGACGGCGAUGCUGGCGACGGGCUGGUGCUGGACGAAGACGAACGGGGUGGACGGGCGGCGGCGGCAGCCGCGGCGGCGGCGGCUAGGUUAGAAGUGCGGCGGCGGUGCUCGAAGUAGGCGAAGAACCCUAACAGCGUGACGAAGACCGGCGCGAACGGUGGCGUUCCCGCGCCAAGAAAGACGGCGCGACGCAUACCACGGGAGGUCGACGCGUGGUGACGACGGAGCUGACUGCGUGCCGCGGCGCUAUGGCCCGAAGGGGCGACGCAGCAGCGGCAGGCGGAUCGGGGCGACGGUGGGAAGACCUCUGGGCGGCGGUGGGGACCGCGUGCCGCGACGCUGCGGCUCAAAGGGGCGACGCAACGGCGGUGCACGAGUCGGUGUAGCCGCAGGGACGACCUCGGGGCAGCGGCGAGGACCGUGUAUCGCGGCACUACGGCCCGAAGAGGCGACACAGCGGCGACGCACGAGACGAUGCAGCCGCGAGGAGAACCACAGGGCGGCGGCGCUGCAGCCCGACGGGGCGACGCAACGGCAGCCCGAUGCUCGAUUGGUGGAGAGGCGCGUGGAACUCAGGGACGAUCUUCACGGGAUCUGCGGAGGCGCGCGACGGGCCAGGUCGGUCGCACGACGUAGAUGAGGCGGAUCACGGUAGCGAACAUGUGAUCAAGCCGAUCGCGCGCGAGGUCGGAAACACCGCUCGGUGAAGGCGUGGUGGCGGCGGAGUCCGAGAUAAAGCCGGCGACGACGGACGCCGUGGGACGUCGCGGACGAGCUUGUCAGCACCGGCACCUGGGCUGCCAAAGCAGCGCCGGCGCCCGGGCAGCGAGGCCCGAGCGACCAACGGAGCAGCGGCGUCCGAGUUGAGGCAGCCGACUAGCCUGACGUAGCCGUCCUAACGCAGCCGAGAACGAGGCCGACGAGGUAGACCGCCGGGCCGCUGUGCAGACGCGACGGAGGCGGGUGACGUGGAUCGAUGGGCGGGCCGGCACGCGAACGACGGCUAUGAUUGGCCGUUGCAUGACGCGAGGCCGCCGGGUCGGGGCGAUGCAGGUGUCCCGGUCGGAGCAGGACGGUGCCGGCUGGCGCAGGGCAAUGGACAGACCGACGCGUGUGGCCGUCGGGUCGUAGGAGUGGCCGGCUGGUCGCGCUGGGGUUGGAGUAGAGGCGCACGGAGGUCGACGGCGAUAUUAGAUUGGAAAAUCGAAAAGAAAAACGCCGAUCAAACGACUGGCGAGAGAGUGAAAAUAAUCCGGGGCAAGGGCUCGAAAAAAAGACUCUUUAGGGCAGCCGGCCAACACGGCCGGCGGACAAACUCUAGGUACGGGCGGCGCGGCCCCCAACAGCGGUUAUGGAGCUCGACCGCCCUGGGGCGGCGCGUGGGUGCGGAAGCGGCGAUGGCUAGAAUUUAGAAUCAACUUGCGAUAGGUAGCAUGUUAGUAGGGAGAGAGGGAUUGGUGGAAUAGUCCGUUGUUGUAUUGUUUGAGCCUCGUGAGCAUAUAUAUAAGAGUAUAAUUAUCUACUUAAAGUACAAGACAAGCCAAAACAAAUUUUAAUUUAUUUUGUUUUUCCUAAUAAACACAAUAAAGAUCAACAGCCUCUCCAGGAAGUAAUCAGUAAUUCUAUCACGUCAUUCUUUGCCAUUGCAUGAGAUUCCUGGGGUAGUUACGUGAAACUAGGUUUACCAAUCCACCAUGUUGUAUUAGUUUUUGUGGGAUUAGCAACUAGAUCUAUCAAUUGAUUAGUCAGUUAAGUUGCAACAUUAGCAAGUAAAAAGGCGUUCUCGUGUUACGGAAUGGAUUAAUUCCGGCCUCACAUUUAAGCUGUAACAAGGUGGAGAUUGAGUCCGAUCGUGUUCGUGUGAUUACUGAAAAAGGGUUUCCUCCCACUUUAUAUUCCAAAGUAACCAACACCGAUAUAAAGAUAGCUGGGGCGAACAGCACAGCAAGCCCAAAAGAAAAAGAAGAAGAAACAAAUGCCAACAACAGCAGCUCGACAAAGCGCGGAUGACCCGCCACCGCUACGCCCUCCAGACACAAACCACCACAACCCGAGGCUCCGAACCACCGCGUACCAAGCAGCACCUCCAAGAAGGAAUGCGACGCCGACGACGCUGCUGCCCGGACAUGUCCUAGAGUUUCCCCCGACACGCGGAGGGAGGUGGGGGAUGGAUAUCACCGACACCCUCCAGGGAGGAAUGGUGGCACCCGCAGGUGUCACCGCAUCGAAGCCGAAGAACCGGCAAGGAUUUCUCCCGCACUCCAUCCCCACCGCCCAACGGACCGGAGCCGACCAGCCAGACCACCGCCCACCAGCAUGCGUCAUCACGGUUGCGCCGCCACCCACGCCGCCUCACUGCGGACACCAACACGAGGCCAAGAGGACUGGAGAGAAGCGCCCCGCGGAGGGAGAAGCAACACCGAAGCCGAACGGGAGGGAACCACCUCCACCGCCGUCGUGCGGGAGGCCAGAACCUCCGGCACCAUUGCGAUAGCCGUCCGGACGCGGCAGCAGGGCAUGCCAGGCCACCCCUGGCCCGGCGAGGCCCGAAACGGGCCCGCUAAGCCCCGCCGCCACGCUGCAGCAAGCCGGCGAUGGCGCCGCCAACAUCCUGCCGUUCUUCGCCUCUCCCCCGCCUCCUGGAGGACGCGCCGCAGCCGCACCCCACCGCCAGCCCGCCCGGGCCCAGAUGGGGCCCGAAGGGCCUAGAUCUGGGCUGAGCGGGCGCCUCCAGAACGCGCCGCCGUGCUACCCCGCCGCCAACGGCGACGCCACCGCCCAGCCAUCCGCCCGCGCAGCGCCAGGACCUCGCCGCCACGCCGGACCGCCGCCGCCUAGGGAGAUCCCCCAGCCCGCUCCGUCCCGCGCCAGAGGAGUGCCGAGAGAGGAAUUGCGAGGGGGCCGCCGCCGCCAGCGUCGCCCGGGCCAGGCCCGGCGGCGAGCGCCAACGACGGCGGCGGGGAGAGAAGGAGGAGGGAGGGUCGCUGGAGAAGGAGAUCGGGGCGCGGCCGGUCGCCCGCGGGGGCGACGCGGUCGCGAGAGCCCGAGAAAUUCGUUGCGAUAAGAAGCCUGACCCAAGAAGCUUCCUCGUGUUCCUGUAAUUGUAGCUACAAAACUAUUACUAUGGAGCUGCCACGGUGAUCAUUGCUGAAUGUGCUCAACUUGCAACAGGGUUUGGGAAGGUUUGUUUUGGUUAUUGUAGUUGAGAUGCAAAUGCGCUUGUUGAUUGUCUUGCUAAAUCAGCUUCUUGAUCAAUCCUCGUCAUUUUGGAAUUCUAGUGCGCACAAUUUUAUCUUGGAUUUUCUUGUAAAUGACGUUGCCCUUAUUUGAUCAACAAAGAAUCUUCCCGUUAAAAAAAACCCUACCGACACUGUGAUUCUUAGGUGAAUGGGCUAAGCACAUCGCUGGCAUCCUAUAUAGAUAAGAGUGACCCCUACUAACUUAUUUAUUUCAACAUGUAAGUAAGUCAUAUCACCUAAUUAUGGUCUCAUCAUGACGUGCAACCAUGCAUGAGAAAAUAUAUUUCAUUCUAUUUACUUAUAUUCAAUUACAACUACUCAAUGGGGACAAGUUGGGAUGAGUCAUCCUACUAUUUUACUUAUAUUCAAUUACAACUACUCGAUGGGGACAAGUCGGGAUGAGUUACAAGCCGGCAUCAAGCCGGUGAAGGGAGAAGGCUUGAUGGUGAUGGCGACAGCAUGAUGAUGAUGAUGGUGGUGGUGGUGGCGCCGGCGAGAGGGCAUCGGCCCGAAGGCCGGUGCUCAUGGUGAUGGAGCCUCCUCUCCUUCCGUUGUCCCUCAUUCUCUGGUGUGGAGCAGCAAUGGAGAUGGUUGUGGAUGAAUGAGAUAAAUGGAUCAUGAAUUACGGCGACUAGGGUUGAGGAUGACAUAUAUAGGAGCCUCGCUAGCCUCCUCUCUUGAUAUGCUUCAUCCAAGGGCUUAAGAUGAGCCUUGUCCUCCGCGAAUCUCUUCUUUACGAGUCAAGGAUCUCGUGGAAUUGAACGGUUACGAAAUCAGUGAAGAAUCUCGUCUGGAAGGGCAACUUUCAGAGCUGACUGCACGUCAAACGACCGCCAAAACGACCGCACGCGGUCACAUGAAAGGCCAUCUUUUGGUUUGACCUUCUCUGGUAAAACGGUCGUCAUCGAACUCGGGCUGACGUUCUUGGGCUCGUUGGAUUCGUAUGAACGAAGCCGAUCCAUUUCUGUCUUAGAUCUUGAUUUGGAGCAUUUUAGAAAAAUGGUUUUUGUCUCACCUUCGAAAUGGCUAAGUCUGACCCCUGCCUGACUCCGUAUUGAUCCCAUCCUUGGUCCUUUUAUCGUGCUUGAUCAUAGGUUGCUCCAAAACACACGUAGACACAAGAAAACAAGGAAAACUAAUAAAAACAAAUAAAAAACUAAACGUGCAGUGCUCACAAUGAUAAGUGCAAAAACUGGUAAUCAUACAUAAUAGACAACUAUUUGGUUCGAGUAAGAAGGUUGACAUCAAAAGCUCACGGCUACCAACUCGAAAGAAUACAUUGAACCAAACCCCAAAAGUGAUAUCCAUGUUCAUCGUGCAAGCAUGCAAAAUUUAAUUAGUAAGGGAGUAAUGCAAGCUAUCCUCUUAGUUUCACUGCCAUGGAGGUCAAGAAAAAGGAAAAUAUUUUUGUGGACCCUAAAUUCCCAUUGCCAAAGGUUUAGAAAAAAGGGUCAAUAUUAUGUUAGGAACACAACAAUGACAAUCAUAGACAAAAAUAAAUCAAGCGAUGUGAACUGGGACCCGCUCUUUCGAUGAGAGAGAGAGAUAACUAUGAUUUUGGGUGGGACUUGACGCUCACGAUCCGGCUACCAACCGUACAGGGAGAACCGUACACGACUGACAUCCACGAUAAUCGCUGAACCAACUCCACGACGUUAUCGACCGAGCCAACAGCAUGGCCGACCUAUUCACGAAGGAUUUUUCCUGCAAGCAAAUCAAUGCAACAAAAUAAUAGCCAAGCAAUCUCAAAAUUACGAAUAUGCUAAAUGGAAUAAAUCUCACAAGUUGGCAUUCUGAUAGGAUGUCUUGACGGUCGCACUAGCCGCUACGAGCGAAGACAAAUAAAAAUAGCAAUAACUAAACUUCUCUAAACAAAACCAGAGUCUAAAUUCUAAUUUAGGCUAGCUAUUUAUUAAGAGCGGCCAACCGCGGAACGCAGCGCAUGGAGACUCAACAGUGCAGUGCACGACUUCUUAACAAGAUGUGUUGGCCCAACGUGGCGUACAAGACUCCUUGGAUCCAAGUUGGCUCCUUUUCGGCUCAAAAAAAAGUUGGCUCCUUUUCCUGAUGCAUGUACACAAGCAUGGCUGGCUGGCUCCUUUUCGUGAUGCAUGUACGCAAGCAUAGCUGGACUCCAAUUCUUUGACGGACGCGCUACUUCACUUGGCAUGAUAAUCAUUUGCCUUCUUCAAAUAGCUAUGAUUUUUCUUGACUUUCUUUAUUGUCGUGAACAACAUUUCUCCAUUAAUGCUUGUUAGAAGGGAGGGAGGGAUUUGGUGGAAUAGUUUGUUGUAUUGUUUGAGCCUCCUGGGCAUAUAUAUAGGAGUAAUGAUCCCGCAGUCACAACGUAGCAAUGCAGACGGUGAGACUGGAGAAGAAUCCGAAGGCAAACUGAUGGACACCCCCCCAGUCGUAAUGGUCGAUGCAUCACGAAGUUGUGGCUGGAGUGGAAACCGACGAGGUUGCUCAAGCAAGGCGUAGCCCUUUGUGCCGUUUGUCGUGGUAGCCGAGAGCAUAGGUGGUGGAGCCGUGGUCGAGGUAACCGGGCAAAGAAUGUCGUGGUCGAUAUCGAGUCGGGGUAGCCGGUGUCGAGGAAGUUGCCGUGGAGCCGCGGGCGCAAAGAGGCACCGAGUUAGUUAAAGGAAAUAUGCCAUAGAGGCAAUAAUAAAGUUGUUAUUUAUAUUUUCUUAUAUCAUGAUAAAUGUUUAUUAUUCAUGCUAAAAUUGUAUUAACCAGAAACUUAGUACAUGUGUGAAUACAUAGACAAACAGAGUGUCACUAGUAUGCCUCUACUUGACUAGCUCGUUAAUCAAAGAUGGUUAAGUUUCCUAGCCAUAGACAUGAGUUUUCAUUUGAUGAACAGGAUCACAUCAUUAGAGAAUGAUAUGAUUGACUUGACCCACCCGUUAGCUUAGCACUAUGAUCGUUUAGUUUAUUGCUAAUGCUUUCUUCAUAGCUUAUACAUGUUCCUAUGACUAUGAGAUUAUGCAACUCCCGAAUACCAGAGGAACACUUAGUGUGCUAUCAAAUGUCACAAAGUAACUGGGUGACUAUAAAGAUACUCUACAGGUGUCUUCGAUGGUGUUUGUUGAGUUGGCAUAGAUCGAGAUUAGGAUUUGUCACUCAGUGUAUCGGAGAGGUAUCUCUGGGCCCUCUCGGUAAUGCACAUCACUAUAAGCCUUGCAAGCAAUGUAACUAAUGAGUUAGUUACAGGAUGAUGCAUUACUGAACGAGUAAAGAGACUUGCCGGUAACGAAAACUAGGUAUUGAGAUACCGACGAUCGAAUCUCGGGCAAGUAACAUACCGAUGACAAAAGGAACAACAUAUGUUGUUAUGCGGUUUGACCGAUGAAGAUCUUCGUAGAAUAUAUAGGAACCAAUAUGAGCAUCCAGGUUCCGUUAUUGGUUAUUGACCGGAAGUGAGUUUCGGCCAUGUCUACAUAGUUCUUGAACCCAUAGGAUCCGCACACUUAACGUCCGAUGACGAUCGGUAUUAUGAGUUUAUGUGUUUUGAUAUAUCGAAGGUAGUUCGAAGUCCAGGAUGUGAUCACGGACAUGAUGAGGAGUCUCGAAAUGGUCAAGACAUAAAGAUUGAUAUAUUGAAUGACUAUAUUCGGACACCAGAUGAGUUUCGGAGCUUACCGGAUAUAUAUCGGAGUGCCGGGGGGUUAUCGGAACCCCCGAGGGAACUAAUGGGCCUCUAUGGGCCUUAGUGGGAAGAGAGGAAGGGCGACAAGGGGUUGGCCGCGCGCCCCGCUUGGAUCCGAAUUGGACUAGGGGAAGGGGGCGGCGCCCCCCUUCCCUUCCCUUCCCCCUCUUUCUUCCUUCCCCCUCUCUUCCUCUUGGUGGAUUCCUACUAGGACUUGGAGUCCUAGUAGGAUUCCCCUCUUGGGGGCGCGCCCUAGGGGCUGGCCGACCUCUCCCUUGCUCCUUUAUAUACGGGGGCAAGGGGGCACCUAGAACACACAAGUUGACAAUUGUCUUAGCCAUGUGCGGUGCCCCCCUCCACGGAUUUCCACCUCGGUCAUAUCUUUGUAGUGCUUAGGCGAAGCCCUGCGCCGGUAACUUCAUCAUCACCGUCAUCACGCCAUCAUGCUGACAAAACUCUCCCUCGGCCUCAGCUGGAUCAAGAGUACGAGGGACGUCACCGAGCUGAACGUGUGGAGAUCGCGGAGGUGCCAUGCAUUCGGUAUUUGGAUCAGUUGGAUCGCGAAGACAUUCGACUACAUCAACUGCGUUACUAAACGCUUCCGCUUUCGGUCUAUGAGGGUAUGUGGACACACUCCCCCCUCUCGUUGCUAUGCAUCACCUAGAUGGAUCUUGCGUGUGCGUAGGCAAUUUUUUUGAAAUACUACGUUCCCCAACAGUGGCAUCCGGGCCAGGUCUAUGCGUAGAUGUUAUAUGCACGAGUAGAACACAAAGGAGUUGUGGGCGUGGGUAUAUACAUAUUGCUUGUCGUCACUAGUUGAUUCUUGAUUCAGCGGUAUUGUUGGAUGAAGUGGCUCAGACCGACAUUACGCGUACGCUUACGCCAUACUGGUUCUACCGACGUGCUUCGCACACAGGUGGCUAGUGGGUGUCUGUUUCUCCAACUUUAGUUGAAUCGGAUUCAAUGAACAGGGUUCUUUCUAAAGAUCAAAAAGCAAUCACUAUACCGCUUGUGGUUUUUGAUGCGUAGGUAAGAACGGUUCUUGCUAAGCUCGUAGCAGCCACGUAAAACUUGCAACAACAAAGUAGAGGACGUCUAACUUGUUUUUGCAGGGCAUGUUGUGAUGUGAUAUGGUUAAGACGUGAUUAUAUAAAUUGUUGUAUGAGAUGAUCAUAUUUUGUAACACAGUUAUCGGCAACUGGCAGGAGCCAUAUGGUUUUCACUUUAUUAUAUGAAAUGCAAUCGCCAUGUAAUUGCUUUACUUUAUCACUAAGCAGUAGCGAUAGUCGUGGAAGCAAUAGUUGGUGAGACGACAACGAUGUUUCGAUGGAGAUCAAGGUGUCAAGCCGGUGAUGAUGGUGAUCAUGACAGUGUUUUGAAGAUGGAGAUCAAAAGGCACAAGAUGAUGAUGGCCAUCUCAUAUCACUUAUUUGAUUGCAUGUGAUGUUUAUCCUUUCUGCAACUUAUUUUGCUUAGUUCAGCAGUAGCAUUAUAAGAUGAUCUCUCACUAAAUUUCAAGGUACAAGUGUUCUCCCUGAGUAUGCACCGUUGCUAUAGUUCAUCGUGCCGAAACACCACGUGAUGAUCGGGUGUGAUAAGCUCUAUGUUCACAUACAACGGGUGCAAGCCAGUUUUGCACACGCAGAAUACUCGGGUUAAACUUGACGAGCCUAACAUAUGCAGAUAUGGCCUCGGAACACUGAGACCGAAAGGUCAAGCAUGAAUCGUAUAGUAGAUAUGAUCAACAUAGUGAUGUUCACCAUUGAAAACUACUCCAUCCCACGUGAUGAUCGGACAUGGUUUAGUUGAUAUGGACCACGUGAUCACUUAGAUGAUUAGAGGGAUGUCUAUCUAAGUGGGAGUUCUUAAGUAAUAUGAUUAAUUGAACUUUAAUUUAUCAUGAACUUAGUACCUGAUAGUAUUUUUCAUGUCUAUGUUGUUGUAGAUAAAUGGUCCGUGUUGUUGUUCCGUUGAAUUUUAAUGCGUUCCUAGAGAAAGCUAAGUUGAAAGAUGAUGGUAGCAAUUACACGGACUGGGUCCGUAACUUGAGGAUUAUCCUCAUUGCCGCAUAGAAGAAUUACGUCCUGGAAGCACCGCUAGGUGCCAAACCCGCUGCAGGAGCAACUCCAGAUGUUAUGAACACCUGGCAGAGCAAAGCUGAUGACUACUCGAUAGUUUAGUGUGCCAUGCUUUAAGGCUUAGAACCGGGACUUCAACGAUGUUUUGAACGUCAUGGAGCAUAUGAGAUGUUCCAGGAGUUGAAGUUAAUAUUUCAAGCAAAUGUCCAGGUUGAGAGAUAUGAAGUCUCCAAUAAGUUCUAUAGUUGCAAAAUGGAGGAGAAUAGUUCUGUCAGUGAACAUAUACUCAGAAUGUCUGGGUACCACAAUCACUUGACUCAGCUGGGAGUUAAUCUUCCAGUUGAUAGUGUCAUUGACUGAGUUCUUCAAUCACUGCCACCAAGCUACAAGAGCUUCGUGAUGAACUAUAAUAUGCAAGGUAUGGAUAAGACUAUUCCCGAGUUCUUUGCAAUGCUAAAGGCUGCGGAGGUAGAAAUCAAGAAGGAGCAUCAAGUGUUGAUGGUCAACAAGACCACCAGUUUCAAGAAAAAGGGUAAAGAGAAGAAGGGAAACUUCAAGAAGAACGGCAAGCAAGUUGCUGCUCAAGUGAAGAAGCCCAAGUCUGGACCUAAGCCUGAGACUAAGUGCUUCUACUAUGAAGGGACUGGUCACUGGAAGUGGAACUGUCCCAAGUAUUUGGCGGAGAAGAAGGAUGCAAAGUGAAAGGUAUAUUUGAUAUACAUGUUAUUGAUGUGUACCUUAUUAAUGCUCACAGUAGCGCCUGGGUAUUUGAUACUGGUUCUGUUGCUAAUAUUUGCAACUCGAAAUAGGGGCUAUGGAUUAAGCGAAGAUUGGCUAAGGACAAGGUGACAAUGUGCGUGGGAAAUGGUUCCAAAGUCGAUGUGAUCGCGGUCACACGCUACCUCUACAUCUACCUCCGGGAUUAGUUUUAGACCUAAAUAAUUGUUAUUUGAUGCCAGCGUUAAGCAUGAACAGUAUAUCUGGAUCUUGUUUGAUGCGAGACGGUUAUUCAUUUAAAUCAGAGAAUAAUGGUUGUUCUAUUUAUAUGAAUAAUAUCUUUUAUGGUCAUGGACCCUUGAUGAGUGGUCUAUUUUUACUAAAUGUUGAUAGUGGUGAUACACAUGUUCAUAGUAUUGAAGCCAAAAGAUAUAAGUUUAAUAAUGAUAGUGCAACUUAUUUGCGGCACUACCGUUUAGGUCAUAUUUGUGUAAAGCGCAUGAAGAAACUACAUGCUGAUGGGCUUUUGGAAUCACUUGAUUAUGAAUCACUUGAUGCUUGCGAACCAUGCCUCAUGGGCAAGAUGACUAAGACUCCGUUCUUCGGACAAUGGAGCGAGCAACGGACUUAUUGGAAAUAAUACAUACUGAUGUAUGCGGUCCAAUGAGUGUUGAUGCUCGCAGCGGGUAUCGUUAUUUUCUGACCUUCACAGAUGAUUUGAGCAAAUAUGGGUAUAUCUACUUGAUGAAACAUAAAUCUGAAACAUUUGAAAAGUUCAAAGAAUUUCAGAGUGAAGCAGAAAAUCAUCGUAACAAGAAAAUUAAGUUUCUACGAUCUGAUCGUGGAGGAGAAUAUUUGAGUUAUGAGUUUGGUCUUCAUUUAAAACAAUGCGGAAUAGUUUCGCAACUCACGCACCUGGAACACCAUAGCGUAAUGGUGUGUCCAAACAUCGUAACCGCACUUUAUUAGAUAUGGUGCAAUCUAUGAUGUCUCUUACUGAUUUACCGCUAUCAUUUUGGGGUUAUGCUUUAGAGACGACUGCAUUCACGUUAAAUAGGGCACCAUCGAAAUCCGUUGAGACGACACCUUAUGAACUUUGGUUUGACAAGAAACCCAAGUUGUCGUUUCUUAAAGUUUGGGGCUGCUAUGCUUAUGUGAAAAAGCUUCAACCUGAUAAGCUCGAACCCAAAUCGGAGAAAUGUGUCUUCAUAGGAUACCCAAAGGAGACUGUUGGGUACACCUUCUAUCAAAGAUCCUAAGGAAAUAUAUUCGUUGCUAAGAAUGGAUCCUUUCUAGAGAAGGAGUUUCUCUCGAAAGAAGUGAGUGGGAGGAAAGUAGAACUUGAUGAGGUAACUGUACCUUCUCCCUUAUUGGUAAGUAGUUCAUCACAGAAAUCAGUUCUAGUGAUUCCUACACCAGUAAGUGAAGAAGCUAAAGAUGAUGAUCAUGGAACUUCUGAUCAAGUUACUACCAAACCUCGUAAGUCAACCAGAGUAAGAUCCACACCAAAGUGGUACGGUAAUCCUAUUCUGAAGGUCAUGUUACUUGACCAUGACGAACCUAUGAACUAUGAGGAAGCGAUGAUGAGCCCAGAUUCUACAAAAUGGCUUGAGGCCAUGAAAUCUGAGAUGGGAUCCAUGUAUGAGAACAGAGUGUGGACUUUGGUUGACUUGCCCGAUGAUCGGCAAGCCAUAGAGAAUAAAUGGAUCUUCAAAAAGACUGACACUGACGGUAAUGUUACUAUCUACAAAGCUCGACUUGUUGCAAAAGGUUUUCGACAAGUUCAAGGAGUUGACUACAAUGAGACCUUCUCACCCGUAGCGAUGCUUAAGUCCGUCCGAAUCAUGUUAGCAAUUGCCGCAUUUUUAUGAAAUUUGGAAAAUGGAUGUCAAAACUGCAUUCCUUAAUGGAUAUCUUAAAGAAGAGUUGUAUAUGAUGCAACCAGAAGGUUUUGUUGAUCCAAAAGGUGCUAACAAAGUAUGCAAGCUCCAAUGAUUCAUUUAUGGAGUGGUGCAAGCCUCUCGGAGUUGGAAUAUACGCUUUGAUAGUGUGAUCAAAGCAUAUGGUUUUAUACACACUUUUGGAGGAGCCUGUAUUUACAAGAAAGUGAGUGGGAGCUCUGUAGCAUUUCUGAUAUUAUAUGUAGAUGACAUAUUGUUGGUUGGAAAUGAUACUGAAUUUCUGAAUAGCAUAAAAGGAUACUUGAAUAAGAAUUUUUCAAUGAAUGACCUCGGUGAUGCUGCUUAUAUAUUGGGCAUCAAGAUCUAUAAAGAUAGACCAAGAUGCUUAAUUGGACUUUCAAAAAGCACAUACCUUGAUAAAGUUUUGAAGAAGUUCAAAAUGGAUCAAGCAAAGAAAGGGUUCUUGCCUAUGUUACAAGGUGUGAAGUUGAGUCAGACUCAAUGCUCGACCACUGCAAAAGAUAGAGAGAAAAUGAAAGUCAUUCCCUAUGCUUCAGCCAUAGGUUCUAUCAUGUAUGAAAUGUUGUGUACCAGACCUGAUGUGUGUCUUGCUAUUAGUUUAGCAGGGAGGUACCAAAGUAAUCCAGGAGUGGAUCACUGGACAUCGGUCAAGAAUAUCCUGAAAUACCUAAAAAGGACUAAGGAUAUGUUUCUCGUUAAUGGAGGUGACAAAGAGCUCAUCGUAAAUGGUUACGUCGAUGCAAGCUUUGACACUGAUCCGGAUGACACUAAGUCACAAACCGGAUACAUAUUUUUUAUUGAAUGGUGGAGCCGUCAGUUGGUGCAGUUCUAAGCAAAGCGUCGUGGCGGGAUCUACGUGUGAAGCGGAAUACACAACUGCUUCGGAAGCAGCAAAUGAAGGAGUCUGGAUGAAGGAGUUCAUAUCCGAUCUAGGUGUCAUACAUAAUGCAUCGGGUCCAAUGAAAAUCUUUUGUGACAAUACUAGUGCAAUUGCCUUGCCAAAGGAAUCCAGAUUUCACAAGAGAACCAAGCACAUCAAGAGACGCUUCAAUUCCAUCCGCGAUCAAAUCAAGGAGGGAGACAUAGAGAUUUGCAAGAUACAUACAGAUCUGAAUGUUGCAGACCCAUUGACUAAGCCUCUCUCACGAGAAAAACAUGAUCAACACCAAGACUCCAUGGGUGUUAGAAUCAUUACAAUAUAAUCUAGAUUAUUGACUCUAGUGCAAGUGGGAGACUGAAGGAAAUAUGCCCUAGAGGCAAUAAUGAAGUUGUUAUUUAUAUUUCCUUAUAUCAUGAUAAAUGUUUAUUAUUCAUGCUAGAAUUGUAUUAACCGGAAACUUAGUACAUGUGUGAAUACAUAGACAAACAGAGUGUCACUAGUAUGCCUCUACUUGACUAGAUCGUUAAUCAAAGAUGGUUAAGUUUCCUAGCCAUAGACAUGAGUUGUCAUUUGAUGAACGGGAUCACAUCAUUAUAGAAUGAUGUGAUUGACUUGACCCAUCCGUUAGCUUAGCACUAUGAUCAUUUAGUUUAUUGCUAAUGCUUUCUUCAUAGCUUAUACAUGUUCCUAUGACUAUGAGAUUACGCAACUCCCGAAUACCAGAGGAACACUUAGUGUGCUAUCAAACGUCACAAAGUAGUUGGGUGACUAUAAAUAUGCUCUAUAGGUGUCUCCGAUGGUGUUUGUUGAGUUGGCAUAGAUUGAGAUUAGGAUUUGUCACUCCGUGUAUCGGAGAGGUAUCUCUGGGCCCUCUCGGUAAUGCACAUCACUAUAAGCCUUGCAAGCAAUGUGACUAAUGAGUUAGUUACAGGAUGAUGCAUUACGGAACGAGUAAAGAGAAUUUCCGGUAACAAGAUUGAACUAGGUAUUGAGAUACCAACGACCGAAUCUCGGGCAAGUAACAUAUCGAUGACAAAAGGAACAACGUAUGUUGUUAUGCGGUUUGACCGAUAAAAAUCUUCGUAGAAUAUGUAGGAACCAAUAUGAGCAUCCAGGUUCCGCUAUUGGUCAUUUACCGGAAGUGAGUCUCGGCCAUGUCUACAUAGUUCUCGAACCCGUAGGGUCCGCACGCUUAACGUCCGAUGACGAUCGGUAUUAUGAGUUUAUGUGUUUUGAUGUAUGAUACGUCUCCAACAUAUCUAUAAUUUUUGAUUGUUCCAUGCUAUUAUAUUAUAUGUUUUGGAUGUUUAAUGGGCUUUAUUAUGCACUUUUAUAUUAUUGUUGGGACUAACCUAUUAACCGAAGGCCCAGUGCAAAUUGCUGUUUUUUUGCCUAUUUCAGUGUUUCGUAGAAAAGGAAUAUCAAACGGAAUGAAACCUUCGGAGGAUCUUUUUUGGAACAAACAUGAUCCUGGAUACUUGGAGUGGACUUCAAGGAAGCAGCAACGCGGCCACGAGGUAGGAGNNNNNNNNNNNNNNNNNNNNNNNNNNNNNNNNNNNNNNNNNNNNNNNNNNNNNNNNNNNNNNNNNNNNNNNNNNNNNNNNNNNNNNNNNNNNNNNNNNNNNNNNNNNNNNNNNNNNNNNNNNNNNNNNNNNNNNNNNNNNNNNNNNNNNNNNNNNNNNNNNNNNNNNNNNNNNNNNNNNNNNNNNNNNNNNNNNNNNNNNNNNNNNNNNNNNNNNNNNNNNNNNNNNNNNNNNNNNNNNNNNNNNNNNNNNNNNNNNNNNNNNNNNNNNNNNNNNNNNNNNNNNNNNNNNNNNNNNNNNNNNNNNNNNNNNNNNNNNNNNNNNNNNNNNNNNNNNNCCCCCACCCUCGUGGGCCCCUCGCAGCUCCACCGACCUACUUCUUUCGCCUAUAUAUACUCAUAUACCCUGAAAACAUCCAGGAGCACCACGAAACCCUAUUUCCACCGCCGCAACCUUCUGUACCCGUGGGAUCCCGUCUUGGGGCCUUUUCCGGUGCUCCGCCGGAGGGGGAAUUGAUCACGGAGGGCUUGUACAUCAACACCAUAGCCUCUCCGAUGAUGUGUGAGUAGUUUACCACAGACCUUCAAGUCCAUAGUUAUUAGAUAGAUGGCUUCUUCUCUCUCUUUGGAUCUCAAUACAAAGUUCUCCUUGAUUGUCUUGGAGAUCUAUUCGAUGUAAUUCUUUUUGCGGUGUGUUUGUCGAGAUCCGAUGAAUUGUGGGUUUAUGAUCAAGAUUAUCUAUGAACAAUAUUUGGUUCUUCUCUGAAUUCUUUUAUGCAUGAUUUAAAUAUCUUUGCAAGUCUCUUCGAAUUAUCAGUUUGGUUUGGCCUACUAGAUUGAUGUUUCUUGCAAUGGGAGAAGUGCUUAGCUUUGGGUUCAAUCUUGCGGUGUCCUUUCCCAGUGACAGCAGGGGCAGCAAGGCACGUAUUGUAUUAUUGCCAUCGAGGAUAAAAAGAUGGGUUUUAUAUCAUAUUGGAUAGCAGUCGAUGUGUGGAUGCAUGCUGGAUAGCAGUCGAUGUGUGGAGUAAUAGUAGUAGAUGCAGAAUCAUUUCGGUCUACUUGUCACGGACGUGAUGCCUAUAUACAUGAUCAUGCCUAGAUAUUCUCAUAACUAUUCGCUUUUCUAUCAAUUGCUCGACAGUAAUUUGUUCACCCACCUUAGAUUAUGCUAUCUUGAGAGAAGCCACUAGUGAAACCUAUGGCCCGGGGUCUAUUCUCCAUUAUAUUAUUUUCCCGUCAACUUGCCAAUUUCUGUCACCGUUUAUUUUGCAAUCUUUACUUUUCAAUCUAUACAACAAAAAUACCAAAAAUAUUUAUCUUAUUAUCUUUAUCAGAUCUCACUUUUGCAAGUGGCCAUGAAGGGACUGACAACCCCUUUAUCACGUUGGUUGCAAGGUUCUUGAUUGUUUGUGCAGGUACGAGGGACUUGCGUGUAGUCUCCUACUGGAUUGAUACCUUGGUUCUCAAAAACUGAGGGAAAUACUUACGCUACUUUGCUGCAUCACCCUUUCCUCUUCAAGGGAAAACCAACACAUGCUCAAGAGUUAGCAAUGUACCAAAUGUAGUUCGGAGUCCCAGAUGUGAUCACGGACAUGAUGAGGAGCCUUGAAAUGGUCGGGACAUAGAGAUUGAUAUAUUAGAUGACUAUAUUCGGACACCAGAUGAGUUUUAGAGCUUACCGAAUAUAUAUUGGAGUGCCGGGGGGUUAUCGGAACCCCCCGGGGAACUAAUGGGCCUCUAUGGGCCUUAGUGGGAAAAGAGGAGGGCUGGCCGCGCGCCCCGCUUGGAUCCGAAUUGGACUAGCAGAAGGGGGCGGCGCCCCCCUUUCCUUCCCUUCCCCCUCUUCCUUCCUUCCCCCCUCUCCCUCUUGGUGGAUUCCUACUAGGACUUGGAGUCCUAGUAGGAUUCCCCUCUUGGGGAGCGCCCUAGGGGCCGGCCGACCUCCCCCUUGCUCCUUUAUAUACGGGGGCAGGGGGCACCCUAGAACACAUAAGUUGACAGUUGUCUUAGCCGUGUGCGGUGCCCCCUCCACAGAUUUCCACCUCGGUCAUAUCGUUGUAGUGCUUAGGCGAAGCCCUGCGCCGGUAAUUUCUCAUCACCAUCAUCAUGCCGUCGUGCUGACAAAACUCUCCCUCGGCCUCAGCUGGAUCAAGAGUACGAGGGGCGUCACCGAGCUAAACGUGUGCAGAUGGCGGAGGUGCCGUGCGUUCGGUACUUGGAUCGGUUGGAUCGCGAAGAUGUUUGACUAAAUCAACCGCGUUACUGAACGCUUCCGCUUUCGGUCUACGAGGGUACAUGGACACACUCUCCCCUCUUGUUGCUAUGCAUCACCUAGAUGGAUCUUGCGUGUGCGUAGGCAAUUUUUUUGAAAUACUACGUUCCCCAACAUCAGUCUGGGCGCAGUGGUGUCGAUUUAGUGGUGCGCCGGAAUGGAGAUGUUGUUGACAACGCGUCGCGGCGGGUUUGCCAAGCCCCGGGACACAUCGUAGACGAAGGCACACACCAGUGUUGCGAGCACUGGGCAUGCGUAGAUGGACGAAUACGAAGUUGACAAAGCGCGGCACCAGGCUUGCCAGGCCCGGGGACACGUCGUGGACGAAGGCACACGAUGGUGUUGCCAGCACCAGGCAUGCAGAGACUGGGGCCUGCACGAGCUGUAUGCCAUGUCGAAGAAGUCGGAGAGGCCAGCAGAGAAGAAGUCGACGACGAUUGCGGUGUCCAUCGGCGCGGGGCCGAUGUCACCAACGGUGGUCGGAGUAGACGAAGUGGUCGGGGUAGAUGAUGGUGACGCUAGCGACGGGCUAGUGCUGGACGAAGAUGAAGGGCGGUGGACGGGCGGCGACGUCGGCUACGGGGGCGGCCGAAGAAGAGCGGCGGCGGCUAAGUAGGAGUGGGGCAGCGGUGCUCGAAGUAGGCGAGGAGAACCCAAUAGUGUGACGAAGACCGGCGCAGACGAUGGUGUUCCCGCGCCAAGGCAGGCGACGCGGUGCAUACCACGAGAAGUCGACGCGCAGCGACGGUGGUGGACCGCGGGCCGUGGUGCUACGACCCGAAGGGGCGACGCAGCGGCGGCGGGCAGGUCAGGGCAACGGCGGAAGACCUCGGGGCGGUGGUAGGGACCGCGUGCCGCGGCGUGACCGCCCGAAGGGACGGCAUGGAGGAGGAGCAUGGGUCUGUGCAAUUGUGGGGGCGACCUCGGGACAGCGGCGUGGACCGCGUGCCAUGCUCGCUACGGCCUGACGGGGCGAUGCAGCAGCGACGCGAGGGUCAGUGCUGACACGGGGACGACCUGGAGCGGACGGCCUCGGGGCGGUGGUGGACCGCAGGCCGCGGCACUACGGCCCGAAGGGGCGACGCAGCGGUAACAUGGGUCGGUGCAGCCGGGAGAAGAACCACGGGGCGGCGGCGCUACGGCCCGUCGGGGCGAUGCAGCGGCAGCCCGUUGCUCGAUCGGUAGAGGGGUGCGCUGAACUCGGGACAGUCUGCACGGGGCCCAUGGAGGCGCGCGCAACCGACAUGCCAUGUCGGUUGCACGGUGUAGAUGAGGCGGAUCGCGGUGGUGGGCGGGUGAUCAAUCCGAUCAUGCGCGAGGUCGGAGACGCCGCUCGGUGGAGAUGGGGUGGCGGCGGAGUCCGAGAUGAAGCCGGCGACAGCGGGUGGCAGGGCAGCUAUGAUUGGCCGACGCAUGGCGCGAGGCUGCCGGGUCGGGGAGAUGCAGGAGUCCCGGUCGAAGCAGGGCGGUGAUGGCCGGCGUAGAUCGACGGGUGGGUCCGCGAACGGCAGCGGUGAAGAGCCACCGCAUGACACGAGGCCGCCGGGUCGGGGCGAACAGCGGGCAUACGAGCGGAUGACGCACGAGGCCAUCAGGUCGCGGUGACCGGUUGGGGCAGACGCGCGGACGAUGCGCGAGGCUACCGGGUCGGUGAAGAAGCUGACCGAUGUCGCCGGGGUUGGAGUAGAGGCGCACGGGGUCGACGACAACGAUGGGUGACGCAAACCGAUCAAGAUUAGAUCGGAAAACCAAAAAGAAACUGCCGAUCAAGAUGACCGGUGGGAGAGAGAAAACCCCAGAGCAAGGGAUCGGGGAAAAGACUCUUUAGGGCAGCAGGUCAACACGACCGGUGGACGAACCCUAGGUACGGGCGGCGCGGCCCUCAGUGGCGGUCAUGGAGGCCGACCGCCCUAGGGGCGGCGCGCGGGUGCGAAAGCGACGGCGGCUAGAGUUUAGAACCCGGAAACUGAUACCAUGUUAGAAGGGAGAAAGGGAUUUGGUGGAAUGGUUUGUUGUAUUGCUUGAGCCUCGUGGAUAUAUAUAUAGGACUACAUGAUCUACUUGGAGUACAAGACAAGCCAGAAUAUUCCUAGUUUAUCCUAUGUUUCCUAAUACAAUCAUGUUACUCAACAAUGCUGUACAAAAAAGCAUGGUGUCGUAAUUUUAUCCUGAAUAACAAAAUGAUAUAUUGUGUAAUUGUUAAUUGAGAUCACCUGAAAAUUAUAUCGUGUAAUAUUUGUAGAUGUAGCUGUGGUGUCUAUGUCCACAUCGUUCUCCCUUUCUUGAAAACAAAGCCGUUAUCGGCUUUCACCUAUCUGGAACACAUCACACAACAAAGAAAAGAUAGAUGCAACGUAUAUAGGUUGUUCCAAAGGUGUCAGCUGAAGAGGGUUUGAUAAAUUUGUAAUAGCACCAUUAUGAAUAUCAUGAUAAAGUUUCUCAUGUAUAUCAUGAUAAAGUUUAUCCCACAUAGAGCCUAUGUAUGAAUUAUGGGACCGCAAAUGAACUAUCUGAGCAUGUGGUAUGUCCAAAUCAGAAGUUGGGAUACUCAAUAGAAUUUUUUUUAGAAUUGAUAGCAAGCAUACCAUGUGUAGUUCAAUCCGUUGAUUUAACUUUAUCAUAUUGCCAAGGUUGACCUAACAAUAAAGAACAAGCUUGCAUAGGGACGACGUCACAGUCAACAUAAUCAUGGUACGAACCAAGUGUAAAAUGGACUCUCAUACGUCGCAUUACCUUCAACUUACCACCGUUGUUGAACCAUUGGAUGUAAUAUGGAUGAGGAUGUCUCGUAGUGGUGAAGCAAAGCUUCUCUACCAUCUCUGUACUUGCCAAAUUAUUGCAGCUUCCACCAUUAAUGAUCACACGAAUGAAAUUCCCUUUGACAACAAGCUUAGUUUGAAAAAGAUUAUGGCGUUGAGGCAUCUCAGCAUGCCCCACCUGGUCACUAAGUACUCGCAUGGUUACAAGGCUUGGGUACUGAUCUGGCAUCUCAACAUUAAUAUGUAUCUCUUCUGUGUCAUGCUCUUUAGUGUCACCUGCAUUAUUAGUGGCAAACAUAGCAUGUGUAUCUUCAUCCAAAUCACUAGCGUAGGAGUACUCACCAUCUUCUUGCACAAUGAAAAUAUGUUUAUUUGGGCAGUCCUUCAUCAAGUGCCCGUCACCUUUGCAUAUAUGACACUUCAUGCCCCUUGGGCGUCCAGACGAAGUGGUGGGUGCUUGAGAAAUUGCUGUCGACGCCGCAGAGGAUUGUGGAGCUGAUUUUGAAGUUGUUGGGAGUGCACCAUUGUUCGAGAUAUGUGGUGUUGCCUCGGUAGUGGUUGGGACAGUUGGAGAGGGCGUCCAUGAUGAGUGACAACCUGUAGAAAAGUUACCUCGUCCCUUGUUGUGUCGUACCCGUACUUCCCUUUCAGCUUUACAAGCAAAAUGAAACAAACGAGUAAUAGAAUCGUACUCCUUAUAGUCCAAUAUAUCCCAAAUAUCACGAUUCAAACCACCUAAAAACCUAGCCAUCAUAGCAUCUUCGGUUUCAACUAAUCCACAUCGCAUUAACCCAGUUUGUAAAUCUUGAUAAUAAUCCUCUAUAGAACUACUACCUUGUUUUAAACGUUGCAAUUCAUUUAGUUUGUCACAAGCAUAAUAACAUUGUCACAUAGCUCAUUUUAAAGCAUCCAAAGUAGCAGGUAUAUUGUUCGCAUUAACACGACAAUACUCACUUGACCAAAUAGAAGCAAAGUUUGUAAAUUCACUAGUGGCUGCCCUAACUCUUUGGUUCUCAGGAAUAUCAUGACAUGCAAAUUUUUGUUCAACAGAAAGUUCCCAAUCAAGAUAAACAUCUGUAUUAUAUUUACCAUUGAAAGCAGGCAUAGUAAAUUUAAUUUUAGCAUUAGAGAGGUCAUAAUCUCAAACGUCAUACCUGGGUGGACCUCAUUCCAUACCUUGACGGUUGAAACGCAGUUGUCGAUGAGCACGGUCAUUGUGGCGGUCGGCCGCUUGGUCGUCCUCGGUGUCACCGGAAUAAUCCUCGUAGUUGUCCCCACAUUCCUUGUUGACACGGAGAGGAAUGCGUUGGUGCUGGUUUAUGGUGGCGGCAUUGGUGACAGUAGCUGGAUGUUGUGGAUGAUCCACAUGCACACGUCGAGCUGGCAAAAUAGCGGCAACAGCUGCAGAGUUGUGAGGAUCAACGUUGUUGUUGACGCGGGGUGCAGUCUGCAACCCGUCCAGACGUGACAAGAUGUCAUGUAGAUGUGUGUUGGCAACACCCUAUGCAUCCUCGAUGGCCUUGAGCCUCUCCUUGGCCACAAUCUGAGAACUCUCAAGUUGGGCGAGACGCUCACUGGUGACUUUCACAUCCGCGAUGAGGCCCUCAAGUGUGGGUUGAUCCUGUGCCAUUGUUAGCGAAAGAUAAAAAACACACAAUGUAUAAUCCCUAUCAACUAGUAGGAUGUGGUGGAGAGAAAUCACUCACACUCAAGCUUAGUAUCAAAUUCUCACUUGUUCUUACUAAUGCAAUAGGUGAUGAUCGGUGUGUUCGUGUUGGCUUCAAACUGCCGAUGAAGAUUGGAUGGAGCAAUAACCAGGAAUCAGUAGAGCCUGGUCUGUACUUAUUGGUAGGAAAAAAUGUAGCUUGGCAAAGGUUUCUCAACUCACAAUAUUAGUGGCACAAUUUAGCAAAAAGCAAUGCAAGUUAAAUAAUUUCUCAAACUCCUAACUAGUGCUGGCAGUCUACUAGUAAGAGAUAAAACAACCUAAACCCAAAUACUGAAUGAAGGGAGUGAAAAUCAAUGAAAAUAUGAUAGCUCCAAGUAGCUAGAUAAGUGAAAUAUAAACACAAUGACAAAGCUUGAAAAUAGACGAUAUAUGGAGUGGUAAUCAUGUAGGAGCAAAAGUGUUUGUCCUGAAAAACGAACCGAACAACACGACUUAAAAUAGAUGCUUGCUGGCCUGAACUAUGCACUUCUCUUUUAUUUUGCUCUUUUUCUCCUCUCUCUCUUUUUCUGUUUUUUCUUCUAUCUUUUUCUUCUCUUUUUUGGCCCUUUUUUUGUCAAGCCGGUAACAAGCAAGAACUCACAUAUACGAAAGAUGAUAAUGUAGCGAAAAAAAUAACGUGAGGACAGUUCUUGGAAUGUUUGAGCGAUGGUAGCUAUAAAAGCAAACUCCAAGGCACAACGCAAGUUGAUGGGACAUGUACGACCAACAGUGGCACUAACAAUCAAAUAAUGAUAGAUGGAUGUGCUGAGACUAGCCACAAUGGAGAGUAACAUACACUAGUAACAUACACAUAUCCCUAGACUAUAUUACUAUAUUCGUAGUGGGUAGUAACUUAACUGUGGUAACAUGCAAAGAUUCAUUUAUUAGGUUAUAGACUCAUAUUGCAUUGGGACAUGUGAUGUUACAGUAACUAGCUAAGUUACUACAACUACCUCUCUCCUCAUUAACUCAUUGCCACAUAAGAAAAUUUGCUGAGUUGGACUCGAUGUUACUGCUGAAGUUACUCCCACUAUGGCUAUUCUGACGGAAUUGGGAUGCUUGGUCGCUAGCGGUGAAAAGCGUGGAAAUGCGCGCGGUAGCAGAAGAACAAUUUUUUAAAGGCGGAUGGGACGUGGGUACAGAUGCGGCGGCAGAUGUGCUAAGUAAAAAAUUACAGCAGCAAAUAAAUCUUGCAACCGCGAGUCUGCGACAAGAGUCUGCGGAAUUGUAUUUUUUUACAUUGAGAACGAAGCAUGCAGCGGAAAUUAUGAUCUGAAUAAAAAAACAAGAUUGAUCUAGUAGAUAAUUUUCUCCCAAACUAAUCUAAACUAGCACGAGUAUUAGAUGAAUGCAACAAAAAAUUCAACUACACAAAUACUAGAUGCAAAAGUUGCUAAGGGUUAAAAAAUUAGGUGCGAUGGAUGAACUAAUUUUUCUUUGGCUUUUUGUAGGUUAUAAGACUGAAAAAGAUCUAAUCUAAUAAAAACUGUAAAUCUCUCACUUGUGAACCUGAAAAAUGAUACCACUUGAUGUGAACCGGGACCCGAUUUUUCGAUGAGAGAGAGAGAGAUAACUACAAUUUUGGGUGGGACUUGACCCUCAUGAUCCGGCUAUGAUGGGGAGCAUCCCAAGAUCAUCCCCAUGGACCUACCUACGUCUCCCACGACAGCACUUGGACCAAUGACAAGGGCACGAGCAAAGGCUAUCAAAGAUAAGGUGAACUCGCUCCUCUCCGAACUUCCACUUUCUAUACAUGAGACAGGGCUACUACCUCAAGCAGAGACACUAUGCAUGGUCAGGUACUUGGAGGAGAGCCACGAAGCAGCUACACCCACCGGACAGGGCGACGAGGACACCAAGCGCAAGGUCAUGAAGAAGGAGAGCCAACGAAGCUACAACCACCGGACGACCGGUCGGGACCGGACGUCCAGAGCCUGAAGCCCCAGCCGAACCCUAGCGAGCGGACGUCUGGCCCGGACCGGACGACCGGUGUCACCGCACCCGAGCCAAAUCAGCGGAAGACUAACGCCACCGAACGACCGACGAUUGGACGACCGGCCACUCCGGAAAUCCGGUGCCCACGCAACCGAGCCAGAACCAGCGGAAGUUCGGAAGCCACCGGACGUCCGGACGCCCAUGAGCCACCGGACGACCGGUCCCCAGUGGACGUCCGGUACCUGUCUGCGCACAGGAUUCGGGCCCGAGGCCCAUGUACUCCCUCCCUUCGUCCCCAUUUGCACUAAGACUAUAAAUAUACCUCCUACUCCUCCUAGCUAGGGUUAGCGUUGUGAUAGCUCAUAUUAGAGAUAGAGCCUCGCUCAUCCACAUCGGAUCUACUCCACGAGAUAGACCGCAACCCCUCUACGAAGAAGAUCCAUGUUGGAUUCAAGACCUCCUCACGGACAAGACCAUUAAGACCUCCUCACGGAGAAGAACCGGUUACCUCAUGUAUCGUCCCUUGUUGAUCGUGGAUCUUGUAUCUUCUUUUGUGUUCAUGGAUCUAGCACAUGUAUGAUCGUUCUUGUUGGUUUGAGUGAUUCUCUCGUGUUUCUCCUCGUGUUCUUCGUGUUCUUCGCGGGAUCCACUCCUUUCGUGAAAGAUUGUCCAUCUAGGGUUCCACCCUAAAUCACGUUGGUAUCUAGAGCCACGUUGAUCACGAUUUCGGAGCCUCCCCGUUGUGUUUCUAGCCUUGUUUUUGUUGAUUUUGUCCCUAAUUCGAAAAUUCCCCACAAAAAUAGCCCAAUUUUUUUGUGAUUUGUUGGUGUGAUGAAAUUUUGUUGGAUUUGUUCCGUGGAUUUGCUUUGCCUUGAGUAGAUAUAGCGUUCCCCUUCGUCUCCACCUUUUUCAUCCACAAAAAUGGCCGGAUUCAACGAAUUUCGACCUCUCCAUCACGAACCCUUGCUGUUCAUCCCGUCAUCGACAACAAUGACUCCACCAUUUUGACACCAUACCGUAAGCAAGAAGCGGUAAACUCAUCUUGGUAUAGUGAUACAUCAUUCUUGCCAUUACAUUGAUAGCCAUCAUAGCCUUACUCUUUUGCGUCGCUUACCCAUCUAGACUAGCCUUUGAGUAUUGCCGGCAAUAUGACUUGUGCACAUUAGUGAUCAUACUUCCCAUACCAUACAUACAUAUCAUUGGUGCAUAUCAUCUUGUGUCACAAAGUGUCAUCGCAUACUCAAUUGCUAUCUCGGUUCGUGAAGCAUUGCAUGAGAAAAGAGCUCAAACACAAAGAGCCAAACAAGCUUUUAAGCAAAAAGGGAAAGAUAAGCAAAGAGCUUUUAAGCAAGAACCAUAGCAUCAUACAACAUUAAGAUUGUCAUACUAGAUCAUCUUGGAUCAUAUCAUCGGAACACCAUACAUAGAGCAUACUUGGGAUAGAAGUCGUUGCAUUUUUGCUUAGUAGGUUGUCAACAAGUCUUCGUAUCCGCCUAUCAUGCAAUCGUGCUAGCGUCUCUCUAGUGUUGUGCAACAAGAGCAUUUUCAUGGAUCCCCACAUUUUGGCUCAUCCUUGGUUGCACGACCCCAUUCAUCUCUUUGCGUGUGUGUUUCCGUGUACCUCAUUUUGCUUGGUCUACUUGUUGCAUUGCAAACUUGCGAAUCUUUUCCAACAUUAUUGAAGUUCACUAAUAAUUGUAUCAAAUUUUGUGCCACCAUCCUAACCGAGCUCCAGGAUAAGCUUUUACUUGUGUAGGUGUGAGAAACCGACAAGAAUUGGUACCAAUUGUGCUAUUUCCUUGUUCCACAUUGGAGUGAUCUUUGAUCCACCUUCAACAUCGGUCAAGGUACAUUUGGUAUACGUUCUUCUCUUUCUACCACUCACAUAUUUCCCUUGGAAUGAUGGAUAGGCCAAGUACUUCUACCAUCCCACUCUUCAUCGGGCAAGACGACUACAUGAACUCCUACGUCACAAAGAGCCGCCUCUUUGGUGCACAACGUGCUUUGCAUCAAGAGCAUCAAGCAAUGAGUGAGCGCAUCGACAACCUCGCCACUGACUUGUGACUCUCAGAGCAACGCACAAGAGAUUACUUCGACCACAAGCUCAAUGACCACAAGCAAGAGAAUGACGCAAGAAUGGACGAGAUUUGUGCUUUGUUGCUCAACCGUUCUUCUUCCACUUCGUCCUCAUCAAGACAGAGCCACUCAAGUCGACACUCCGACUACACCAUUUCUGGCUCAAGUACACCGACAUCGAACACUCUUCGUCGUGCCACAUGCCAAGAUCGUCAAGCCAACCGCAAUCCUCUACACGACAACAACUCUCAAGAACAACGACAUCGUCAAAACCAAGCUACCUUUGCGCAAGCACGAGAACGGCAACAGCAACGCCAACAUGAAGAGGAAGAGCGAGCGCGUCUACACCAAGAAGCACAAGAUGCCGAUGCACAGCGUCAAGAGAAACAAUUGUGAGAUGCUCAAGCACUUGAGACGCAACAAGACCUCCAAGAAUCAAGUCGAGCCGUAGCCAACCGAGGCCGACAAGCUCGUGAACAUGAAGCACUUCGUGAAGAAAUUCACGAACGAAUAUACCAAGCUCGCGUGCAACGUCAAGCUCGAUAAGUUCCUCCACAAGCUCGCCAAGAACAUCAAGUUCAAAAAGAACAAGAAGACAAUGGAAAUCCUCCAUGGUAAGAGGAAGUUGUGAGAGACGAUCCUCCUCGUCAAGGACGUCAUCAUCCCCGACCCGAACACAAUGAAUAUGUAGCGACCAGACCUCAAACGGUCCAAUCUCUAUGCUCAGGUGUCGUCCCUGGAUCAGUAAUGCUGACACCACACAGUACUUGAAGGAUUUAUAACAGAGUAGCAAUCACACACUUAUUACAUCGAGUGUCUCAAUAGAGAACUUAUUACAAUAAAUAUGGCUUAAGGCCAUCUAAUAACGAUAACAACGGAAGGCUUGGAAGAUAAGUGAGUCCAUCAACUCCAACGGCAUCACUAAGUAUAGAACAACGACCUGAAAAAUCCUUAACCAUCAUCUGAAAAGUCUGCAACAUGAACAUUGCAGCCCGAAACGGGUCAGCACAUGGAAUAUGCUCGCAAAGUAACACAUAGAGAGUAAUGGAAUGAAACAGCUAUUCUAUAUGCAUAUUUGGCUGGUGGAAAGCUCUAUGGUUACAAUUUUGCGUAAAGCCAUUUUUUCCCUACUGCAAAGGAAUAAAUUUUAUUUAACUAUCAUGGUAGUUGUUAAACAUUGAGAAUGGUUGACAGCAUUCUCAAUCCCAAUUAAGCAUCAUCAUUAAACAAAACCCAACAAAUUAAAUUUUAGAGUAACAUGUUGAGAUUCACAUGAUAAUCCAGGUACUAGAUACUCAAGAUGUCCAUAACCGGGGACACAACUAAUCAUGAUUAGUUUAUACACUUUGUAGAGGUUUGCGCACUUUCCCCCACAAGACUCGAUCGCCUCCGUUUGGUUUCUCGCACUGCAUGGUGUUUGAGAAGACAAAUGACCGAGACAUAGUCUUUCAAAAGCGCUAGCACCUUACGAUCGGGUAGACCGUUACACCUAAUUUCCCCUACAUCUGCUAGUCUACCACUGUAAGAGUUCGCACAACUUAAUCAACUAUGCUAGAGCCCAUAAUAGCUUGUGGCUGCACACAGAAGUUUCUAGCAUGAAUAAUCUCAUGAUCCCUUUGAGCCUGUGUGGCGGUCCAUAAAGAAAAUAGGCAAUCCUGGAAUACCCAGGUAUCUCAAUCCACCCAGAUGUGUGUUUAAGUUGCCACCUUAAACAAACCAUUAAUUAACAAUCUCACAUCUGUCAUGGAUACACUCACCCAAUCCACGUCUACUAGCAUAGCAUGGCAUAAUAAGCAAAUGUAGAAGUAACUCCCAAAGGUUUGAUAAUAAAUAGGUAAUAGGUACUACCUCAACUAAUUCCCAAACCCACAAUUUAGUUAGAUCCUAAUCAUGCAAUGUGUGAGGAUUGAUCUAAUGCAAUAAAACUGGGUAGUGGGAAAACAUGAUCAAAGUGUUACUUGCCUUGCUAGUAAUCCGGGAAACCUAGCGAUUCAAAGUAGCAAGCGGCGCACUCCGGGUACUCUAUCGCAAAAAAACAAGCAUACAAUAAGUACUCAACUAAUGCACAGGUAAAACUCAAAUAAGAGAUCUAACCAGAAAGUACAACUUAAGAACUCCGAUUGGCAAAAAGACUCAAAUCGAACGAAGCAACGAAAGACAAACGGCAAAAGAAACAAGCUUCGUUUACUAUUCUGGGUCUAGGGCAAUUUUUAUAGUGACAAAAACUUGUUUGAGUUUUUUAAACGGAAAGAGGGUUUCGAGACGAAACUCCAGGCGCUUGAAUCGCCUGAUUCCGAUAAACGAGCAAAAAGUUAGACUAAAACAAAAAUCGGAUCAGAAAUCGCGAUCUGAAAAAAACGCGGAUUUAAUCCGAGAAAAAGAAAAAUGGCGAACGUUCGUUAAACGAACGAACGGACGAACGCUCGCUAUUUAAAUAAACCGGAAAAACGAUCUAUUUAAAAAAAUCGAAACAAAAAAAAAA